UUUUUUUUUUUUUUUUUUUUGUGGGGUUGGUGGAAGAAAUCAUCACGUAAUACGAGAUACGAUUGAAAAAAUAGUUGCGCCCAUAAACGGAGGAACAAAAGAAAUCUGCAGAGCUGCCUAUUGAUUUGGCUGGAAGCUGUGUAAUUUUGAUGUCAACUGGCGCAAUAUUAAUAUAAGGUGUGGAUUUACCACUUAUUCCUGAUAUUCAUGAGAAGAGCGGGUUUCAAUCUCACGAGAGUUUUCAAUUAUCCGGGAAAAUGAUUAUUAGAAAGAAAAACAAAAUGGGGAGAGGCGUGGUUGUGUGUAUCCACGCGACAGACAGUUUUAAGCGGUCGAAAAUGGAAAAGUCUGUUGGACUUGAAUAGGUGAUGUCGACGAAGUCCCAACAAGCUCCUGGACAGGAAGUAAUUUAGGCACUAAACAAACACUACUACUGGUUAGUUGUCUUUCCAACUCCUACUAAGUACUAACCAACCAACCGAAAGCAAACAAACGCAAAAGAGAGCCCCCAGUCUUCUUCUUUAUAUAUCUGUCUCUAUAUGACUACUUUUUCAGGCGGAGAAACUGUCGUGGCCGCCGGAGUGAUGUCCCACCUAGUCCUUAGCUGCGAAUCAUUUACCGUUGUCUUGCCAAUCAAUUUUCAUGGUAAUAUAUAUAUAUAUAUAUAUAUAUAUAUAUAUAGAGAGUAAAUUCAAAAUUUACCGAAAUCCACAUUUUACACAUUGGUAAACUGCAAAUAUAUAUAUAUAAUUAAAAAAAAAGAAAAGAAAGUGUAGCAUUUGUGUUAGCAAUCUUGUACGGCCAUUUAGUUAGUGUUGUAUUUAAAUACACAAGGGCAUCUUCCUUGUAAGAUACACUACUAUAAGCCAGACAAAUCUCCCAUCCAUAUCAUAUGUAAAACUGCAAAGAGGGAGGGAAUGAUUCAACGAGUCCAAGGCCAACAGCUAUGAGGUAUCCCAUUCCCAGCCCCCGCGACCGCGAGAAAGAUCAAAGAGAGAAGCCCCCCAGUUUUUACGUUCCCAUACUUAAAACAAAUCAAAGCAUCAUCCGUCGAAUAAUCAAAAGCAUACCAUCCAUGGCCAUGGAUUCUUGACCGUUGAAAAGUCCCACCCCAAUUAUUCUCCUACUCGUUUUUCUUUUUCUUUUUAUUUUUGGUUGAAAAAAAGUAGUGUUCUGCAUCAUUGACCACAAAUAGAAUAAGAUAAAAUUGAAAGAAAAGGCUUCACAGCAGACUAAUAGAAUAAGCGUUCUCGUUUUAAAAUAUAAUGUCAUAAUAAUACUCAUGCCUUUACCAGUAUAUUAGACUAUUAUCCAACUAAUAACUAAGUGAAAGCUGAGAAUUUGGUUACAUGUUGUCGUUAAAAGUGGGUCCAUGAAUUGAUACUUGUACUCUAUAAGUGGACGGUUUGUCUAAUACGGAUGCCCAUAAUAAGACACUUGGUAACAUAUAGUUGAGGUGUUAUAUUUUUAAAAAUAUAAGAUUAAUUAAAAAAAAAAUAUAAGUAUAAAAAAAAGUAGAUCGGAUUAAAUAAAAAAAUAUAUAAAUGUAAGAGAGAAUACUAAUUGUUAGUAUAUAUAUAUAUGAAAUAAGUUAUGUAAAUAUUAAAUGUGUUAACGAAUUUUCUAAAAGCACUUGAUAGAAAAAUCAUAAGCUGAUUGUUACAUGCCACUCACGAAAUUUUCAUAAUAACAAAUGACCGUAUGCAAUCAUAAUUACAAGCAAAUGCGGAAAAAAAAAAGGCUUUCUAUUUUGUGACAUCGGUGCCUGAAAUAAUAAAAAAAAAAGGGUGAGUUUAUUGCGAGGCAAAUUUUAAAAUCAUUGCUCGCUCUAAAAUUAGCGUCAUAAAACGCACUUUUUAUAAUAUUUGGAGCUCGGUGGGUACUACAGAAUACAAAGAAGGGAGGAAAAAGAGCAAAAAAAGAAAAAAAAAAAACAGAAAACAAAAGAAAAAGCAGCAAGAGUCCAAGGUAAGAGCUGAUCUCACAAAUCCUCCCUCAGACGCGGCUAAUUGAUCAGAAUAUAGACGUAAAAAAAAAAGGUCAGACAACUACGGUUCUGGCAUGGGGGUUGUAUAAAUCUAUGGGUGCCGGGCUGACACAGCCCGGCACCUGACACACCAAUUUUUUUUUUUAAAAGUUGUCAGGUGCCGGGCUGUGUCAGCCCGGCACCUGACACCACUUUAUUUUUUUUUUAAGUUGUCAUAGCCCGGCGCCCAUCAAAGCAUCCCAAACCAAAGAUAUCCAUUUUGUGUUUUGGUUGAGAAAGAGAGAGACCCGAAAAGUUGUGUUGCAUGAAGAUUAAUUUGAAUAGGGCACUAUAUAAUCUGAUAAAGGUCAACCAAAAUAAAAAAUUUGACAAAGAAAGUGUCAAAAUUGGCAUGGAAUUGAAUCUAGUAUGUACCCUUGCAGAGUUCAAUAUUAUUAUAGCAUAACUAAGGCCUUGUUUGGAUUGCGGUUUUUCGUCGGAAAAUUACGUCGUUUUCCGUGAUCACAUUUCCCUAUUACCUUUUUUCCUCACAUACAUCAAAUCGCUACAAUAAUUUUUCCAUGAAAAAUCAUGAAAAAUGCAAUCCAAACACAACCUAAGUAUUGACGGAUUCCAACUCAAGUUGCAUAUGUUGCUGCUGAUUCAGGAAACGGGGUAGCCGGAAAUUAUACACAGGAAAAAAAAGAGGCAAAUAGGAAAAGUAAACAAAAUUACUAGCUGGGCUUAUUUUAGUUUAGAUCAAUGAGAAUGGUGCUUGUAACUUUUGCUAUAAGUAUGAGUCAAAAUUUGAAUCGGUAUAGAAAAAUAAAAAUAAAAAACACAUUUGACAUUCAACUUUUACAAACACGCAAAAGGUGAAAAAAAAAAAAUUUUUGGGUCAAGGCAUCUUGACAAAAAUUUUUAUAAUAUUUUGGAUUGAGCAUUAUUUCUUCAAUUUUAUUUGUUUACAACAUCAUUACAAUUUUCAAUACACCUUUUUAUCUUCCCAAUUACCUUUUUAUCUCAUAUACAUCACAUCACAAAAAGUGUUACAGUAAAAAUAUCCCAAAUAACUUACAAUCCAAGCAAAUCCAGGCGUCGUAAUUAAAUUUCUUAAAAUAUAUAUCAUUUUUCACGGUAGCUCCUAACAAUUUUUUUGUCUCGCUUUAUCUUGCAUUGGACACAAUUAUACCUAUACUAUUAUUAACUCUUCUUUCUCUGGCAUUUUUUUGUUCCUUUUUUGUGGUAUUAUAUUUUCUUUGUCACUUUAUUGUUUCUUUAAAUUUUCUUCUUUUUUCACAAAAAUUGAUAUCUUAAUGAUUGAAAUUGAAAAAGAGAAACUGUAGAAUUCUAUCUUUUCCUUAAAUGAUUAAAAAAUAUUCAAAUCACUUGACUUGAAAUACAAUUAUCUAGUAUCCAUAUUCUUUUAAUUUUGAAUUUUCCUCUUUCAUUUAUAGUUUCUCAUUUUAUUCUCAAGAAAAUAUCGUAAGGCUGAAAUUGUGAUAUGAUUAGUAAUUAUCAAUUCCAAUUUGUGACAUGUUGCAUCAUGCAAAAGAUCAAACCCCAAACCCUAAACACUAAACCCUAAACCCUAAACCCUAAAACCCUAAACAUUAAACCCUAAACAGUAAACUAAUUCAUUUAAAUUCAUUUAAUCGAAAUUCAUUUAAACUAAUUAAACUAAUAACAUAUACUAAAUAACAUAAACUAACCUCGCCAAAUACAUCUAAAUUCAUUUAAUCGAACCUCUUAAAUUUAACUAAUUCCACAAUUAAUUCAACUAAUUAAUCGACUAAACUAAUUCAAAUAAUUGUUUACUAAAUAACAUAAACUAAUUAUCAACUAAUUUGCAUAAUAAAGUAAAUUGUAUUAAACUAAUAACACUAAUAUCUAUACUUAAGUUAUGCUAAAUACAUCAAUUUUAGUUAAACUAAUUUAAUUAAUCCAUUAAACAAAUUUAAACAACUGGAUACUAAGGUGAGAUUCCACCAACUAAGAAGCACCACUUAUUAGUCGACAUCUCAUAAAUACAAAAACUCUGCGGCUUCUUAACAAUUGAAUCAGAAGACAGAAAAUUGAAUUAGCUUUAAAAAGCUGUCAGGUGCCGGGCUGUGUCAGCCCGGCACCUGACAACUUUAAAAAAAAAAAUUGGUGUGUCAGGUGCCGGGCUGACAUAGAUUUAUACAGAUCCAAUGUCAGAACCGUAGUUGUCUGACCUUUUUUUUUUUCGUCUAUAUUCUGAUCAAUUAGCCCUCAGACGCGGACAUAUAUGCGUUCGUUCAUUUCUUCUCUGUUUCUCACGCAAUAUAUAUAUAUAUAUAUACACACUACAAGUAUAUUCUACUAGUAUUAUGAUUUGACCAAUUAAACGGGGGAAGGGCGCCGGCAAUAGCCGUCUCCUGGAGCUGAAAUUCAAACCAAGCAAACACGCCAUUUAAAGAUGGCCCUAAUUUCUUCCAUCCCCAUAUAUGAAUCUGAUACGUUCUUCUUCCUCUCAUUCCUUCCUCCUCCAAAAUCUCCAACUCCGGAACCCUCUCUCCCUCAUUUGUACUGCUACUAUACUACUAGCUUCAUAAUUAGCACUGCUAGUAUUCCUUUAUAAUACUAUACUGCUACUGCUAUUAGUGGUUUAUUAUCCUGUUCUCAUCAUCAUCAAAUCAUCUUCCGGAUGAUGAUGCCUUUUCCCUGUCGCUCCCGCACCAUCAUUUCUCCAUCGUUUGGCAGAUGAGGAGUUUGCCCUCUUCCUCCGUCGCUCUCACCCUUCUUUACUUUCUCCAUUUUAGCUCGUCUUUAAUUUCCCGGCAAUAACAACCCAACCCCCCCUUUUUUUUUCCUCUUCUUUUUCUUCUUCUCCUUCGUAAUUAUCGUUAGGCACAAAUCAUACGCGUCAUCAACCAUGUUUUUUCUAAAUCCAAUUUUAUUCUUGUUGAUAAUCGUAGUCCCCUUUUUAAUCUUUAGAUUCUUGUCCAGAACAUCCAUUCUGCAUAUCGCGAACAAUUGGUGGCGGACUUUAGCUGACAAAUUUUACGUGUACCAGUUGUACAGAGUUCCCCAAUUCAACGACCACAUGCAGGAAAAUCAACUCUACCGAAAAGUUCACACCUACCUCAGUUCUCUCCCGGCCGUCGAGGACUCCGACUUCACCAACCUCUUCUCCGGUGCCAAACCCAACGAGAUCAACCUCGUCCUCGACCCCAACCAGAUCGUCCUCGACAAUUUCCUCGGCGCUCGAUUGUUCUGGAUUAACCAGAAAUGCGACGGGUCUGGGUUGAAAUCGCUGGUUCUCAAGAUCAGGAAGUCCGACAAGCGCAGAAUUCUGCGCCCCUACCUCCAGCAUAUCCAUACGGUCUUCGAGGAACUCGAACAGCGAAAGGAUGUCAAACUUUACAUCAACGUCGAGGACGAGCCGCAGAGAAACGGACGGUGGAGGUCGGUUCCCUUCACGCAUCCGGCGACGAUUGACUCGGUCGUGAUGGACUCGGACUUGAAGAACAAAGUCAAGUCGGAUUUAGAAUCCUUCCUCAAGUCCAAACAGUAUUAUAACCGAUUAGGCCGGGUUUGGAAGCGGAGUUAUCUCCUCUACGGGCCCUCCGGUACCGGGAAGUCCACAUUCAUCGCUGCGAUGGCCAAGUUCCUCUCCUACGACGUCUACGACGUCGACCUGUCCAAAAUAUCGGGCGACUCUGAUUUGAGGUCGCUGCUGCUGCAAACGACGAGCAAGUCGCUAAUCGUGAUGGAAGAUCUGGAGCGCCAUCUGACGGGGAAAUCAACGGCGGUGAGCUUGUCCGGGAUCCUCAACUUCAUGGACGGCAUAGUCUCGUGCUGCGGCGAGGAGCGCGUGAUGGUAUUCACAAUGAACGGCAAGGAUCACGUUGAUCCCGCGAUUCUGAGGCCCGGGAGGAUAGAUGUUCACCUGGAGUUCCCUCUCUGCGAUUUCAACGCCUUCAAAAGUUUGGCCAACAGCCAUUUGGGUGUGAAGGAGCACAAGCUUUUCCCUCAGGUGGAAGAGAUGUUCCAAAGCGGGGCGAGUUUGAGUCCGGCCGAAAUUGGCGAGCUUAUGAUUGCCAACCGGGCCUCUCCCAGCCGGGCCUUGAAAUCCGUAAUAUCCGCGCUGCAGAAUAACGCGGACACCAAGUUAGCUGGCAGGGUGUCGCGCAACGGGUCGGUUCGGUCAGCGGAGGAAUCCGGCGACUCGGGAAUAUUGUGUAAAGACGCCGGUGUUUCCACCGUCAAGGAGUUUCGGAAAUUAUAUGGAUUCUUGAGGAGGAGUCGAAGGGAAUCCGCAGAUUUGGAUGACAAGGAAAGGGAAAUUGGUCGACAAGAAAGUUGAGUCGUGCCCACCCGUCCACCAAUCAAACUACACCAAAUCAGAAAACCCCGUUUAAAGUUUCAGAAGAGUAGUCUGUCUUUCUCUCGCUGUUGUGCUCAAUAGUCCAGUAAAGAUAUUUUUGGCUUUUUCUCUCCCCUUUUCCUAUCUUCCUUCCAUAGUAUAGUUAGCAUUUGGGGGAAAAAAUACUACUGCUGUAGUAUAUUUAAUUAGCACAGCGUUAAUGUUUAGCGGGAAAACUUCCACAGGAUACUACAGUAACGAUUGUUGUAGCAGUACAGAUAGAUCCAUUUUUAAGUAGCAUAGCAUUACAUUAAUUAUUAUUUGUUUGCUGGGAUCUUCUUCCCAAGAACAACAUAGCAGAAAAUUUUCCUUUCGUCCAUGUCAGGUGUCUAACGAUCUAAUGAUGUACUAGCAGUUACCCAAACAAAGUGCGGGGGCGGUCCUAGUCAGAAAAUAAAUGUUAGCGACAAAAGGAGGUUUUGGUUUCAACGCCUUUAGAAGAAGGAAGGAGGGGGCUGGCAAUGGCCUGUUGAAAUUGGGAUGCCCUCUGAAAAUGGUCAUUGACUUUGGACGUCCGUUGGUUGCAUUUUAUGUCUGAUUUUGACUUUUUUGCAAAAUGGCGCCGAGAUUGCCUACCGUUUUCAUAUCAUAUCAAUUAAUCAAUCAAUAAAGGCAUAAAAAAGGAUGACUUUUUUUUUUUUGGGGGCUACCUAGUAGAUAACACGACGCCUCACAAGAUUCAAAGGUUACCCUUAUUAUUCCUUUCUACUGGAUUGGUUUGGUUUGGUUUGGUUACGCUAUAUCUCCAAAGCGAGUGGUGGGUUCGUGAAUAAUACAUGACGCAGCGUAUAUGUGCUGUCGAAAGAAGAUGGAUAUGUCCAUUCCAUAUGUGAUAUCGAAUCAUAUCACUACUGCUUCGAUAGGGUUUGGAUGUGGAAUGUUGCUAAAUUGGUCUAGAAAAUGAAAAUUUAGUAGUAGAAGUAGUAGUAUCAAAGCUAAUCCAUUCGCAUAUGACGACAUGGAAUUCAUUUCGCAGCGUUGAGAAUGAGAAUGGCAUUCAAAUUGGGAAUCAGGCGAUCGUCAUAGCUGAAUGUGAAUGUUCUCCGUGUAUGGACUAAGUAUAGUAUAUCCUUCUUUCUUUCUUUCUUAUGAUGGAGAGAUGACGAUAAUACGCGGAUUUACAAUUGGUCUCCAACAACUCUCCUUAGUAUACUAUCCAGGUCCAUAUAUUCUUCUCUUAAUCUAGUAGCCAUGCCAUGCCCCCUUUGGAUAAUUGCUCUACUGUUUUGCAAAAUCUUUUUGUGGCCAUUUUCACAAAAUUAGUUCUGACUUGACAUAAAAAGAGGUGCUUGAUUUAAUUCUCUGCAAAUAUAUUUUGUGAUCUAAUGGCAGGUAUAAUGAACACUAAUGCAAAAUUUUACUCGUGUCACAAAGUACGAAAGUCCGCAUGAGAUCAUUGCAGGAAUGAACGCAUGCAUAUUCAGGAAAUUUUCAUCUACGAGGAUUGGAUUGUCGUCUAAUCAGUUACUUUCGCUAAUCUUAAAAUUUGGUGGUACUAGUGUACAGAGUGAAUCGAUCAAUUUGGAUUGUCAUCUAAUCGGGGACGGUGAGGUCGUUCCUCUGCCGCUACAGCUCCGUCGUCAUCGCAAACUCUCUUGGUAAUUUUAGGGCUUACACCUGCGCUGCCUCCUCCUCCUUCUUUUCACAUAGCGCCAAACGAGUGGGUACUCAACAGUGGCAGCUUUCAUUGCGACGAAGCUCUCGGCUGCUUUAUGAUUCGCCUCUCCAACAGCUUCUCCAAUGCCCAAAUCAUCCGUACCCGCGAUUCCCAGGCACUUUUGAAAAUAAUUUUGUUAUGACUGCCCGGACCUUUUUCCCCCCCUUUUCUUGCUGUUAAAGUGACUAAUUAGGAAAAAACAACCUAUUCAUUCGAGGUUCUGGAAGGGCUUGUUGCUGUACUUGAUGUUGGAGGAUUCUAUGACCCCAAGCAUUAUAGACCGUUACGACCGUCACCAGGAAGGUUUUAACGAGGUUUUGGCUAUGGACACUCCACUGAACUUAGCAGUGCCGGCCUCGUCUGCAAGGUAGCUUUUACUUGCCCAUAAAUCUCUCGGUGCUCUGUAUUUUUUUUUUUCCAUAGCCCUGGAUCCGGUGCCUGUUUUUUAGUAGUAGCAGCAGUAGCGGGUUUAGUCUAGCAGCAGAGUUGUUGGCGCGUGAAAUUUACAGUUAUUCAGAUUACUUUGUUAGAUAAAUAAGUUUAUCAAUCUGCGGUUAUCCUUUUCUGUUCCUGAUUUUUCACUUCCAGCAUUAUGGGAAGGAGAUAGUUGCCAAGGAGGUUCAGCUAGAUGAGGGACAUCCAGAUGUACACCUGUUAUUUUUGACAGUUUAUAACUUCAUGGAGGUAACAAUCCAACCGUGUAUUGUAAGCCUUGUCCUGAAUGGUUCAUGGACUUAGUACUGUUUUACCGGUCCAAUAAUAUUUUUGACUGAGCAAAUGAAACCUUUGAAUCCUAUCUUCUUUCUGGUUUUCCCUGUCCUUUUCCCAAGGAGUUGCUUCUUUAGUUUUAUUAUUGCUAUAGAUUAGACAAGGGAAGCUAGCUGAUUGACUGGAAUGGCAGUAUAGAAAGGUAUUGCUCUUGCUUCUUGACAUGGCCCGUGUAUGUUCUGUCAUUAGUCAGAUGCUUAUCAACUUGCACCAAAUUUUUUGCUUUAAUUGGCUGUAGAUGCUACUGACAAUGGAAUAAAUCAAUGCAAUACAGGCCAGCCUCCUAGGUUUGUGAACAACACAAGCUUGUGCUCCAGAGUUGGAAGAUUGAAUCUAGAUUGGACUCAUUUUGAUCAAUCACCCGAGCAUGAAAAUAAUGCCUUUCAACAAGCAAUGGAGCUAGCGGGGAAGGAAUUUUUGGAGGAGACUUCCCCUUGAACUCUCACUAUUCUGAGUUGGGUUUGUCUUCCACUCGACAAUAUUUUUGAAGUUAGUACUAGGCUGAUUGGAAACUUUUGUUUUCCUAUCAUCCUGCACAACUUCAGACGUUCAACUCAUAGCUUAAGCAUGACAAGAUUGUUAAAGGAACAAAUUUUUUUUUUUAAACUUUUCAUAUCGGAGUGCUCAUUUCUAUGCAAAAUCAUGGUUGCAAGUUCGAUCCGUAGUUAUGGAAUGUCUAGCAGAAAGAGAGAGCUGUAGAUCCAACUGGGGAAGUCAUUGUGCAAAAUAGAUCUUUUCCUGUAAGUGGAAACUGGUUGUCUCAAUCAUGUCCUUUUUUUUUUUUUUUUGUCAGCAACGAUAUAUUUUUUUGUCUCAAUCAUGUCCUUGAUGACCUUAUUUAGCUUUUUGAUUCUGUCAUCCUUCACCUCUUUCAAUUGUUUGCCUAUUGGUCUGUGAUCAUUCCUUUCCUUCUUUAACAAUCAAUAAACCCAAUGGUCAUGACAACCCAUAAUGACAGUUAUUAGCAUUUCAGCAGUGGAAGCUUCACAUUUUUGACCUGGAGAGGGAACAUUGAUACUUCGAUUAUGUAUGUUAUUUAUCAGGUACCAUCAUGUUCAUCACCCUACAUUAUUCUUUUUGAAAAGCAUGUUAAUAGGUUUAUUCUCUUGCAGUCCACUCAAAGAAGGAAAACAAUAUUCUUUUAUAUCAGCAUGUGCAUAGAAGGAAAACAAGUUCAAUGUCGUCUAUUAAUGAGAGAUAUUCUCUUGAUAAAUAUUCUUGCAUUACUUGCUUUUCUUGCCUCAAAGAAGCAAUAGGAAUAGCGACCUCAUCAAGGUCAAGUAAUUUAUGCUUGGCUAAGUGCAAUGUUUUCAUUUUGUUAGGUCAAAAUGUGUGCAACAGAUAGCUGGUGAAUCAUCUUUUCUUGGAAAAGAAUAUCAUUAGUUGCAAAAAAUUUCACGGUUUUAUUGUUCUGUAGGAUGAUAGGAGUGAGAACUGGCAUAUUCAGGAAGUGGCAGUCUCACCUGAAAAUUUUGAAAGCCGGAAACCCCGACCAUCUCUCUGGAGGGGUCUCAAUGAUGGAGAGCUUUGCGAAGCUACUCAUAUCCCUGGUUGUACUUCUGUGCAUGAGUGGAUUCAUUGGAGGAAAUGAAACUUAUGAAUGUGUUCUUGCUAUGGCAAGGGCUUCUUUGAUGGCUUAAGCAACAAACAAGGUAAUGAAGAACUUUCUUUGAAUAAGAUGCAUGUGCAGUUCGAAUAUGCUGACUCAAGUACCAUUGUUUUAUCAUCCUCAAAUCCUUAAUUUCUUGAAACUCAUUUCUGUACAACUAUCAUCGCAGGUAAAGAAACACACAUUAUUAGAUACUAUUAUGUUAAGGUUAAAAUUGAGUCCAUUGGGAACAAAAUUUGUGGCUCAACCUGAAUCUUCAGAAGCUGCAGGCAAUCCUUCUUUAAACCAGGUAUUUAGUCCUCCUUCCAAGUGGUAGACAUUGCUGUAACCAUUGAGAACUAGCAAGUAAGCUGCUAUCAGUGACCUACAUAAAGUAACAAAAGCAGGUAAUGAAUCUUCUCCCUUGUACAGUGUGCAGACAGUGUAAUGAACUUUUUAACACUUUGCAUUAUGUAGCACUGUCUUCACACACGUUAAUUUAUAUAUAUAUAUAUAUAUUUUUUUUUUCCACUAGUUAUAUUUGGCACAUCACUAUGACUCCGGAUUUUUGAACAUAGAAAUGUAAUACCUUGAUUGUUGCCCUUCCGGAAGACUUUGUGAUGGCUUCAUUGUACCACCAGAUGAGCAAGCUACUAUUAUCUUCGCUUUCUUAUCUAUUUUCGAUUCCACACCUGCUCUCAAGUAUUAAAAAAUUAGUUCUCAAUUUACAUCAGAGCUUUUUCCAUAAGCCUUAAGUUGAUUGAUUUAUGCUAAGAGCCAUACUUUGCAUAAAGUCUGGAUUUUCUUCUGUUCCUUGGAAGAUGCCGAAAAAUGCAAAUGCUGCCCUCCGGGCAAUGUCCCAUGGUGUCCACUCCUUUAUGAGCCUAUAAAUUUGAACAUUAAUAGCUCCUGGCGGAUGAGCCUAUGCCAGGAAAUGAUCAUUUAGUAAAGCUUUUACAAAACAGGCAUGGACAUUUGAAAUUAUAGUUGGUUUGCCUAACCAUGGGCAAGGCAGAUGAUCUAUAUGCUACACUAGUGUGAGAGAAGAUCUUGCAUAAUUUGGUCAGUGCAUCUUUUUUAGCAAAAAUGAUCCAUGUGUCUUAGGUCUGAAGUAUCCUGUCUUGAAAAGUGUUUUAAUACUUAAAAGUACUUAUCGAUCUAUUGGUACUUGCAUUUUGCGUGUCUUGGUGUGCACAUUAAAAAUUUGGGUUGCUGCUGAUGACUUCUUUCUGACUUCAAAUCAAGAGUCAUAAUUCUGUUUCUAUGGCAGAAGAAGGACAUUUACCUCUUUAAACUCUGCUUCUGGACGUACAUCAAGAAUCACAAAGUUAUUUUCUUUCUGAAGUCGCAAAGCUUCGUUCACCUCGACACUCCUUACCUACAUAAUCUGGCAUGGUUAGGCCUUGUAUGAAGUAAUUUGUAAUUUUAUCACAAUUUGCCAUACAUAAGCUAAGUUUUCAUUUUGAAUCAAUUAAAAAAAAAUGAUUCGGAUCCAUAGAAACCUCACUUCUGCUUCACAUGUGGUUAUUAUCUUCUGGAUGACCAAAAGGUUUCUACGGUUAAAUAGAUGGACAUGGCAUUGGAAGUAACUAUUAAACAGCCACUGCUGUGUUAAAAAAGUUUUGAUGAAUGUUAAAACUUGUGUGAUAUCUGAAGCAUCCAAAACUCCGUAUGCACUUGCGAAAAAAUGUGGUUCUAAAAUUUAUGAUGGAGACAACCUGUAAACUGAGAGACUAUGCACCCUAUAUGAAGUAAUUGCAUUCUUUAGCCGUGUCCACAAUGUGCAUGCCUGCUUGUGUCAGUAUGGUUUGUCGUAUAGUGAAUCAGAUAUUACCUUCUUCUCAAGCAGAUACUUCCUCUUAAUCGACCAGUCCUCUUCAGCUGAUCCCUCCAAAAGGAAAGAAAUCACUGAGAUUAUGCUUAAAUGUUGCGAUUUUGUGAUUAUAUAUCAUGGGUGCAUUUCUGAGGUCUUCUAUAGUUUGCAAUUACAAAAUGAUACGAGUCAUAGGAGCAAUAAUAGCAGGUACCUGGUGAUUUGGCGGGUUUGGUUGCGGCGCUUCGAACAGUGAAUCUAGCAGCUGUUGAGCCUGAGUUUGUCCUGCUUGAGUUUUGAAUAAUGGCUUUAGGGGUCAAGCAACAGGAGCUGGGUUCAUUAGCAGAGUUCGGGCAAUAAUUGUAGUUAAAAGCUGGGAUCCUGGAAUGAAAAUUGCGAUGUAAAGAGCAAGUUGAAUGUGGAUUGACUGAAGUGGUGAGGGAAGCCAUAUGUCUAAAAGAAGAAAUGCGCUUUUUAUAUCAGGCGUGAAUCAAGAUUGAAUUCAAAUCAAAUUCAAAGAGAAAUGCGAGCUAAGCUUUCUUUCUCUUCCUGGGGUUCUUCCUCUGCGUUUGAUUUCCUUUCUCUGAGAAAUGUGCUUUUGUGUUGUGGAAGUUAGUGGGCCAGGGAUCUUGUGGAUAUUUCGGAGUGUCAAAAUCUGGAGUCGUGGCUGUGGUGCGCUGGUUCUCUGCCAUUAUGGACUUCUUUCGUCUCCCCUUAUCCUAUCAGCUUUAUUACGUACGGUUUCCUAACUCUCUUUCUCCACAUAUUUUUCUUAUGGUUUUAUUUUCCUUAAUUAUGUGGUUAGCUUAACCCGCUCCACCGCCUCAACCAAAAAGCAUAUACCUAUUGGCUUAAUUAUGUGGUUAUGAAACUCAAGUCCCACAAACCAAAACUUAACUGUGGUAGAACUCUUGAGUCUUGCUCAUUCCCCUUCCCACCCAGGGUUUCCCUUGAAAAAAAAAAAAAAACCAUUAUUGGUCUCAUCCUCUUCCUGCCAUGGUAUAUUAGUGAAAAGGCAACAUGUAUAACUUGAUUUUCUAUUAUGUUUCGUUGAGGGCUUUAAGUAAGAAAAGUCCUGCAGACUCUCUCUAGUCCUUGUGAAAUUAUAUUUACUUCCCCAUUGAAGUUAAUGGGCAGUACACAUCGUAUAAUUAAUUACUCAUAUGUUGUAUUACAAUGUGGUCCCCUUGUUAUUUUUGAUCUAAAAAUAUUUGUAUAAUAUUUUUGUGGUGUUUCUCGUGUUGUUAAACCUUUCAAAACCAAUACAAAUGGGUUAUUCAUAAGAUGUGCCUUUCUCACUAAUGAGAGAUAAGGCAUCAAAAUAAAGAUCUUUAUAGGCUAAUAUACAUUAAAAGGAACAAGUCAAAUUCCCAAAAAUAAUAAUAGCAAAUACUCGUAUUACCAAUACAAAUAGUGAACUAGAUGGUAUUGGCACCAUUCUUUAAGUCUAAGGAUUUAUGGCGAGCACUGAGAAAUUUUUUUUUUUUUAAUGGGGUCCAUCUUCCCAUCAUCAAGUACUCAAAUAUUAGCAUUACAUGCCUCGAUAAUCCAAUCUUCUGGGAUGCAUGCAUAUUUCGGUAGUUAAUACUUCCUCACUCCCAUUUUAUAUGUUAUGGUCAACCUUGUAAAUAGUUUUAAAAAAAAAUGAAGUUUAACUGAGACAAGUAAGCUACUAAAAAAAUGUCUUUUCAUUAUUGCCCUUCAAUUAAACUCUAAAUUUUUGUAAGUUGAGGUUAAAAUUUUAAAAAUGGCACAGCUACCUAAAACAAAGAUAGUAGUAGUUUAUAGCACGAUUUAUUCAGAGAAUAUGAUUUAAAUGCUUUACCUCGAGAGUUGUAUCAAGGAUAUAAUGGAAAAGUUGAAUUUCAUUUAUUUCUAUUUUAAAUCAUGACAAGUAUUUAGGGACAAAUCAAAAUACAAACCAUGACAUAAAGAGUAAGAGUAUUUUGGGAGUAUUACAAUGACUAGGACUUUGUCAUGUUAAUUAUGAAAGAGAUACUCUCUGUAAAGAGAUCAAUUUAGUGUCGUGGGCUUAUGCUUGGACAACGUAAUUUAUUUUCUUCUCCUCAUGCUUGCGGCUGUUAGAAGAAGAGGUUGCUUUCGCUUAUUUAUGUGGAUUUAGAAUCUGAAGUCCUCAAGGAACGUUCUGAUUUUAUUCUUUUCCCACAAAAAUGGAAAAAAAAAAAUUAAAUCUUCAAUAUGGGCUCCUGUGCCAUCAUCAGGUGUAAUUGAUCAGGCACCGCAUACUUCAGCCUGGUUUUGUUCUGCAGGGACAACUUUUUUUUUUUUUUUUUCUGCGGAAAUAACUUAAUACUCCUUCCGUCCCACUUUGAUAGUCCUGUUUGCCUUUUUCGUUUAUCCCAAAUUAUAGUCCACUUUUCAAUUGAAAAAUGUACUGCCUGUUUGGAAUCUCAGGUUUUUUGCAAGUUUGUAUGAUACUAGUUUUUUAACACCUUUUGCUACAGGAACCCCAAAAAACUUAUCAAAGUUUUUAACCUACAUACUUCAUCUAAUACACAAAAAAUUUCUCUUCAACUUUUCUUCUUUUUCCUCUCUCAUCCAACACACCAUGUCCUCCGUCACCAGCCAUCACCGCUCCCGGCGCCGGUCACCUAUUCCGGCAUCGCCUUUUUUUUUUUUUUUUUUUCUCUCCCUCUCCUUCACCCCCUCUCCUCCUCUCCUCCACUCCCCUCUCCCUCCCCCGCUUGCUGCGAUCUAGUUGCGCGACCAGAUCGCAGCUGAGGGAGGGGGAGGGUGGCGGGGGAGGAGAGGGGGAGAGAAAAAGCUAAAAAAAAAAAAUUCCAUGGCUUCCAUUACUCUGGUGUCGGAGUGCGAGGGGGAAGGGGAGGGGAGAGGAGAGGGAAAGAGAAAGGAAAAAAAAAUUUUCCAUGACUGCUGGGCGACCAGAUCGUAAAUAGGGAGAGGGGGAGGGUGGCGGGAAAGGGGGAGGAGAGUGGGGAGAGAAAAAGCAAAAGAAAAAAUCCAUGGCUGCAAGUUCUCAUGGCUACUGAGGGCGACGGGGAUGGGGGAGGAGAGGGAGAAGGAGAGGGAGAGGGAGAGGGAGAAGAGGGGGAGAGAAAAAGGGAAAAAAAAAUUUUCCCAUGACUGCUGAUUUUUGCCCGUCAGAGGCAGAGGUGCCGGGGGAGGGGGAAGGGAGAAGAAGAAAGAAAGAAAGAAAAGAAAAGGGGAAAGAAAAGAAAAAAGAAAGAAAGAAAAAGAAAAAGAAAGCAAAAAGUUUUUAUCCUAAAAAUUUUUCUUACAACUUCUACGGUAAUCUAUAGUAAAGUUUUAGACAAACACCCAAAAAACUCACCUUUCAAACGAGGCCGUAGUUAUCUUUUAAUUUCUCUAAAAUACCCUUAUUCAAUGUAGGUUGUUAUUAAUAUAAAUUCCCUUAUUUAAUAUAGAUUGUUAACCUAUCCCAUUUAAUACAUUUAGAUUUUUCAAAACAUAUUGAUGUAUGAAAAGCUAGCUUUGCUAUUCUUUCAAGCCCAAAUGUGAAAUAAUGUAAAAUGAGGAUUGAUUCUUUCUUGGUCAUCAAUUCAAGUUCUUAUAAACCAUCAAUUUAAGUUUUCAUGAAUAAUUAAUAUAAAAUUAUACUUUACUUAAUGUAAGGGUAUUUUAGAAAAAUAGCAACCUAAAUUUAUUGUUCUAACAAAAUUAAUUACUUUUUCUUAAACUGUGUGAAAAAAAAUUAGGAUUAUCAAAAUGGGACGGAGGGAGUACAUUUGAAGAUUCUGCUUCCUUUUUUUUCCUCUUUAUUUUCUGUAAAGGAAAAUGCUACAUAUUUUCUUGUCUGAUUCAUAUCUUUCGGUCUGAGUCCAAAAUAAUAGAGGAAAAUGAAUAAAACGGGGUGUUGGAUGAUUAUUUGGACGUAAUUAUGUACCAAACAUUUUCAGUAAUAGGAUGUAAUGAAUGCUUGCAAAACAAAAAAAAAAUUUUUGUUUCCGUUUCCGAAAGGAUGACACGUCAUCAAAUCAAUCACUGCCCUAAUUUUGAUUGAAGAAUAAGUGACAAUGAAGGUAAGAUCACUUCAUUUAUUUAUUGGUUGAAAAUACGUACACCCCCCAUGUGACUUACAAUAUAAGAAAGUGAUGGUAGGGAAGCAAUCAGACAAGGAUAGAAGAGCAAAUAAGGAAAGCAAUCAGAUAAGGAUUCCAUUUGGAUUGCUUUUUUAUACAAUUUUUUUAUAGGAGGAUGACAAUUUAAAAUAUAAAAGAUAAAAAAUGUGAUUAGAAAAAUAAUUUUUUUUUAAAGAAAAAUGACAGUCCAAACAAGUACACAUCUGGUACUAUUACAAAUCUCUAAUUAUUCCAAAAAUAAAGAGAUCAUGACCGGUGUCAAUCUCAUUGUUACUCUUACCCUGUGCCCCAAUAAAGUUAAGGCCGUGUUUAGAUUGUAAUUUUUUUAAAAAAAUAUUUAUAUUUUUCGUGAAUAUAUUUUUAAUUAUUUUUUAUUUUACAUACAUCAUAUUGCAACAAUAUAUUUUUUUACAAGAAUUUGAAAAGUUAGCAGUUCAAACGAAUUCUAAGGCUUUUAAUCAGUCUCAAAAAAAAGAUUAGAGGAACAAGGGGAAAAAAAAAAGAAAAGGAAUCUGUGCUAGGAGCCUUGAACUCCGGAGACCUUGCUCGACCAAUUUCUCACAUUCCUGCCACCAAAUCUAGAAAAGCCCAAAACCGUUUGGGUAAGGGACCGUAGAUUUUGAGAUGCCUAAGGUAAGUAGGAACACAAAUCAAGCAAACAAAAAAUUAAUUGCUUUUUUUUAAGUAAAAAAUAUUAAAUUCAGAAUCUUUUACUUAACAAAUAUUUCCCACUUAACAACUCAACUCAACCUUCCAACAAAGAAAUUACUUGAUUAGUCUCAAUUCUUUUAAUUGGGGAGUUGGACCUCGCCACAGAAAAAAAGAAAAAAAAGAAAAAAAAAACCAGCAACAACAAUAACAUCCAAUGUGACAUCGAAUGUGCCCGGUGCGCCACCCCAAAAGCCCAAUCGGUCAGUUGGAAGGGAAAGUACUGAGCUGACAAUAUAUAUACUCCUAUAGUAACAUAAAGCACCGACAGAAUCACACCAAUCCCCAGUAGCCGCGUGUCAGCUCGGUUGAAUCUAACGGCUCAAAGAAAUGAGAAGAUGAAUCUAAGGAGUUGUUUCCAUGAUUAGGCGCGUCCCUAGCUGGCGGGUAUAAAUAGUGAGCUUUCCCCCCGGCUAGCUGCUGUGAAACCCCGGGUACGUAAAACAAAUCCCACUACUUGCUAUUAAUCUCUUUCAUUUGUUGUUUUUUCGCAGUGGAGAGAUAGUGUGUGUGAGGUUGCGGAGGAGGAGGAGCACCGGCGUCCGAUUUCGAUUCCCCAAAUUAGAUCGGCUCUUCUGUGUCUCGUGUGUUUUGCAUUUUGUUUUUUAUUUUUGACGGAAGAGAGAUUAAUUUUGUUUAGGACGACAAGGGGGACAGAGAUCAAUUGAUUUUAGUAGAGUUGGAAGUAGUUUGAAAGAGAUAAUACACAAUACAAUGGAGUUGUUCUAUUACAUGGUGUUUGGGGCGCUGGGGGCGGUAGUGGCAGCUUUGGAGUUGAGUAAGGCCAACAAAGAUCGGAUCACAACUUCUCAGGCUUUCACUUCCUUCAAGAACAACUACCUUCUUGUUUACUCUCUCAUGAUGGGUACUUUCUCUAUUACUUUCCUCUAUUUUACUUCAUUUCGUCUCUUCAUUAUUGUUCUGCCUCAGAUCUACAAAUUUUCGCAAAUCAAUUGCCACGCGUCCUUAUUUGCCUAUGUUUCAGUCUGAUCUGUCUGUUAUCAUUGAGGAACCUCGGGUUUGUGGAAUAAAUAAUUGGAUCUUGGGGGGGGAGAGAGAGAGGAGGGGGGGGUGCUUCCAAUGCUAUCAAUUCCUUAAUCAUGUUACUGCUUGUCAUGCGCUCUCAUUUUGAGGCUUCGGAUCUGGAUCUCGGGGAUUUCAUCUAUUUGCGAUUGCGUUCCUUUUGAUUGAUAAAGUGCAAUUUGGACGGACGGAAGCAGGGCUGUCUUCAUAUAUAGUAUUUACACAAAAAAUUGCUUAUGCAUUCACAACGUAACGUAUUAAAACAUUUCUUCAGAUUCUAGAUUAUUGGAAGGUAAAUAGCUGAAGCAAGUUAUAUAUUUCUAUAUGUUAGCUGCUUUAGAACCCACGUGCAUUCUUGUCUUGUAUAAUUCUGGGAGAUUAGAGUGCUGACGAUUAGCAUUCUUGUGGUGACAGCUGGUGAUUGGUUGCAAGGUCCAUAUGUCUAUUACCUUUACAGCACCUAUGGCUUCGGGAAGGGGGAAAUUGGACAGCUUUUUAUUGCUGGGUUUGGAUCUUCCAUGUUGUUUGGCACAAUUGUCGGAUCUCUGGCAGACAAACAGUGAGAAAUCCCACCUAAAAAUUACGCAGUCAUAGCUUUUUAUUUUCUGCCAAUUCAACUCAUUUGAGCUUUCAAUAAAUUUCAGGGGACGAAAGAGAGCAUGCGUGACUUACUGCAUUACUUACAUACUCAGCUGCAUCACCAAGCAUUCCCCACAGUACAAAGUUUUGAUGUUGGGACGUGUACUGGGUGGUAUUGCUACCUCCCUACUUUGCUCAGGAUUUGAGUCUUGGCUUGUUGCUGAACACUUCAAGGUGAGGGGAAUUUGAAUCACCUUUGAUAAGUUAGAAUUGUGAAUGCAUCCUAUGCUAGAAUCUCUCUGUCUUUACUGAAUUUUGUUAGCUUGGGAUGACUGUCCAUCAACAAGGACAGGGGUGGAUUGAUCUGCAAGUACUUUCUCCUUACAAGUAUUUCUUGUUUGGUCAUUUUGCUCCAUCAGUUUUGUUUCUGCAUAUCUGGUAGAAAACUUAACUACGUGGGGGUCCCUUGGUGUAUUUCGAGAUGAUGAACUCAUUUGCAUGUUGGUCGAAGAUAGUCUCCUAAUUUAUGCAUCUCCAUUUGCCUUGCUUCUAGACUUAGAUACAUGUGGAAUUGAAAACUUGGUGUGUUCCUUCUAUAAAUUUAUUUUUAUCUUAUAAAUCCGGAAUAAAUGAUUUAUCUUCAGGAUUUAUAAUCUGUUUCGUUUUUGGAUUCGAAACACAUCACUUUAGCAUUUGCAUCUUUUUGCAUUUUUUCAUUAAGCAUGGUAUCACCCCCACCCCCCCCCCCCCAAAAAAAAAAAAAAAACCACCCCUUUGAAUAGUUUUAAAAGAAUCAAAGUUAAUAGCUUAGGUAGGGUGAAAGUGUUAAUUCUAAGGGUUGAUUUAUCUUUGUAGAGGGGCUUUGAUCAGCAAUGGCUUUCAUUAACUUUCUCAAAGGCUAUAUUUCUUGGAAAUGGUCUUGUUGCUAUUCUCUCUGGAUUGUUUGGAAAUCUGCUGGUUGAUUCCUUAAGUCUUGGUCCUGUAUCUCCCUUUGAUGCCGCUUCAUGCUUUCUGGCAAUUGGAAUGGCUAUUAUAUUGUCAACAUGGACUGAGAAUUAUGGUGAUCCGUCGGAGAAUAAGGACUUGCUAACUCAGUUCAAGAGCGCAGCUGUAGCAAUUGCUUCUGGUAGAUCUCCUAACCUGCUUAUGCACUGAAAACCAUUCCUAAUGCUAUCAACGGGGCGAAUGACAUAGUUGAUGAAUCAUUGUUUUAGCCAUUUACUCGAAAUAUAUGUCUGUCUCGUGUGUUCUCAUCUUUGGGCCCAUUCUUAUUUGCUGUAUAUGACUACAUUCCAAUUUCUUUUAUGUUUUUGGUUACUUUUCUUUAGUUUACUAAUUGAUAUCAAAGAAUAUUGGUUGCUAAUUAAAACAGAAAAUCCGGAAAAGGCAACUGUAGCAAUCUUGAGUGCUUGUCCAAAAGAAUCAUUUUAUGAUAAGUUUUUGACAUAUAGAUUCACAUUUACUUUUAUUUCAGUCCUUGUAUAUAUAUAACUAUUGACAACAGGCACUAAUUUCUUUUACUGAAUGAAAAGGCUCUAAUUCGAAUUCUCUAGCAAUAAAAAUGAAGAAUAGGAGAGAUUCGAAUCUACAUGUGCUUUGAACCAUGAUUUUGGAUGUGGUGUUCUUCUCCAUCAUGUGCAGCUUGUCAUAUUGAACUUUUUUAGCAUGCAGUGAUCUUGAUGAUAAUUGACAUCUAAUGGCCCGUUGAACUCUUAAUAAGGAUGCAGUGACUUUUAUAAUAGUGAGUCACCUGUCAAAGUCUUAAUUUAUAUUGGAUGUGUUUUACUACUCUUGUAAUGAUGAUAUAUUCUCAACUGAUGAUUUAUCAAUUUUCUGCUUUCCUUUCUUUUUAUCCUUCUUUUAGAUUCCUUUAUGUGGUCCUUAGUGCUAUAUUUUGUUGUGGUUCAGAUGAGAGGAUAGCAUUAUUGGGUGCAAUUCAGUCCCUGUUUGAAGGUUCAAUGUAUACUUUUGUGUUUCUCUGGACUCCUGCUCUGAGUCCAAAUGAUGAAGAAAUUCCCCAUGGUUUUAUUUUUUCAACUUUCAUGUUGGCUUCAAUGUUGGGAAGCUCAUUUGCAUCUCGACUUAUGGCGCGUAACUCACCUAAAGUUGAGAUUUAUAUGCAGAUUGUCUUUGUGAUCUCUUCUGCCUCUCUGCUGCUACCUAUAAUGACAAAUGUAUGUGCCAGCUCGCUUUCUCCACUCUUUACCUAUCAAUUAUGGUUAUUAUCUAAUUUUCCUAAUUUUUUAACAGUUCUUGGUAGCCCCCUCGAAGGUAAAGGGUGGUGGUAUCUCAUUUUCUGGUUGUCUCCAAGUUCUUGGUUUCUGUACAUUUGAAGCUUGUGUUGGAAUUUUUUGGCCAUCAAUUAUGAAGAUGAGAUCUCAAUACAUUCCUGAGGAGGCACGCAGCACUAUAAUGAACUUCUUCCGCAUCCCCCUGAACAUCUUUGUUUGCAUUGUACUCUACAAUGUAAGUUACUGAUGCUUGGCAGAAAAUAAAAUUUUUUUUAUUAGAAUGCAUAGCCCUUUGGUUUACACAUUUCGCCAAAACAUGGUAAUUUCAAUCCCACUCUAAUGGGUAAUGCUGCACCAUUGCUUUGACACCAUGAACUUCUGGGUAUGCAGGAUCUUCUCAUCUUUAGUUCUGUAUGUUGAAAAACCCUUGUAUCAAUCAUGUACUUUCCUCUAUGCUAAGUGGAUUUUUGCAAUUUGAAGGUUGAUGCAUUCCCCAUCACUGUUAUGUUUGGCAUGUGCUCGAUCUUCCUGUUUGUGGCGUCCAUCUUACAGAGACGGCUGGCAGCAAUUGCGGACAAGCCAAGUAAGUAAAUUUUGCUGCCUGUAGACAUCACUCCUUGGUACAAGUUCAUGUAUUGAAAAUUGUUGGAACAGAGUUGACACAUCCACGUGUAGCAAUUUAGUUAAUGGUCUUGUAUAAUGUUACAUUGCCACAUGGUUACUCACCGGAAUAUUUGGUUGUAGAGGCAGAAGAUUGGACGCCAAUGAAAGAAAGAGACGCUGAAGCAGAGCCACUAAAUGCUCCUUGAUAUUAACGAGUCUUCACAAACAAAUGUUUUGUGAGGGUUCAUCCCAUGGCGGGCACACAUUUGAUUCAUUAGUAGCCUAUAAGAAAUCUAAAUUCACUCUUUCAGAAAUGCCUAAGGAGAGCAGAAGCUGAUGCCAAGAAGAAGUUUAAUGCCGCUAUAGCAAUUUUUGGAUACAGAUAGAACAAAGUUUUAACAUUCACAUACUCCUGAACUAUUGCUGUGGAGAUAUCUUGGUGUUUAUUUUUUUAAUUUUCAUGUUUUUGUCGAUAAGCAGAAAGUGAAAAAUGGUUGCCCCUUUCGUAAAUUUGACCUCAGUUUAAGGUUAUAUUGAGGCCGUAGAUUUGUAUUUGAUAUUUUAUAAUGUUCUUUUUGAUUAGCGACAAUUUGUAAGAACAACAUGCCAUUAAGCAUUCUUUGUAACAGCGGAUUACACGUUUAUUUUCCUCGGUAGCUGAGACGAGAGAAAAAAAUUCCAUGCAAGAAUCAAGCACUUUUUAGUACAUCAUACACCUUUAAGAAGGUCAUUAAUUAACACCAAAAAUCAAGCACGCUCAAAAGAGUCAUUGGAUGGGGCUCUUGUACAUUUCAAGAAGGCAAGAGGCAACCGAGCUAGCUCAGUUGGUCACAAGGGAGUAUAGGCAAGGUGUUUGAAAUUCUUUGCCUAUAUUUUCCGGCCAAGAUUUUUUGGUGCAUUUGCGGAGGAAGUUUAGUUUUUUCCAAAUUUUCAAUAGCUUAGUUGGAUCUAUCCCUUCCCCCCACCCCCUGGCGGGCGGGAGUAAUAUAGGAUUAGUUGUAAAAAUGUUGUACAAAAAAAAGAGAGAGAGGAGAAAGAGCAAGAGACACUGCAUACUCGAACAUGGUGCUGAGUAUGUCAUCUGCCGUUCAUUUGUAAGGUGGUAGCAACAAAUGCUUCAGUAAUUCAAAAGCCUGGAACAAUGAAAUAACCACUUGCGACUUUAUGCUAAAGGUGAUUCUACUUUUUACUGCCUGUGAAGGGUACGGCUAAUACAAGCAAUGCUUCACGUAGAUAUUACUGCUACAGUAUCUUCAAGGAAUCUUUUACGUUACUUCAUACGUAUAGCGCUGUUAUGAAGAAAGGGAUUGUAACUGGUCAGAUUGCAAAUUGAAUCAAAUGCAGGUUUGGAGGAGUUCUAACGGGUGUUAAGGAACCGAUGUGAACAUAAAUUAAUGUUUGGAGUUGUAGGAAACAAAAUCUCCAGCCAUAAGUAAUAUUAUUGCAAAAACCAUUGCUGAAGCACUGUAUAAUGUUCAAGUGUAAUUGCCCAUGAAAGAAUCAACAGAAUACAUUAUAUACAGUUGUGACUUGCAACAGUGCCGUUGAAAGAAGGUAUAAAAACAGCAGUGGCCUAAAAUAAUACCUUGCUUUUUCGGUAGUUCCGCGAGGACAAUAAGAUACAAUGCAACUGGCGUUCCAUUGAAAACUGACCCAUCAAAAGGAUGCUUUCACAGAUAAAAUAUGUGCAGUGUGUAAGCCUAAAAAAAAAACAAAAAAAAAAGGUUGGGAUGGUUUUAGGCGCCGUAGCCAUCCUAGGCCAGGGCAAGCUCUUGGAAUCACAAGUUGUUUGCUAAAUACUUACAAAUUACCCACCAAUGCAAUACUCAUAUCCACAAUGAAAUUUGAAGACAUGACCUUUAUAGAGGAAGUAGUCCGUCCUAACCAACUGAUCCGGUAUGCAUUGGCAGCAAAUUUCGUAUUACAACUUGCGCUUAUAUUCUGUAUUACAACAUAUGUUAUACACAAACACAACUGAGAAUUAUUCACAGAACUCUACUCCUUUUUGCAUGUACAGAAGCAGACUCCAAGUCCCCAAUGAAGAAUAGGAUCUUAUCUAAAAUACCUGAAGAUGGUUCCACCAUGUUAGAAAAUUCUUCUUCCCCAACAGUUGCAGGAGAAUGAAUGAUUUCCCCAGUUUUUGGUCUUCUAGAGCCUAAAUGCCGUUGAAUCUCGCCUUGGUGGACAAGGUAAUAAUCAUCUCCUUCUCUUAUGAUCUUUAGGCCCCUGAAAGUACUAAAGUCAGCUUAGUAAAACAGCAAAAAGGAUAUUUAAUUACUUUGUCACAAUAAAAAGCUUAAGGUCUUCAGCAAAACAGAUUGCUAAAUAUAUCAGGUCCUUAGUUAUGAGCCUCAAUUGAAUCUUCUUUAUCAAAUUCUUGAGACCAAACACUUGCGUGCAGAUAAAUAGUGGUCUACAGGGGAUUUUUUUUAUUGCUAUCACAAAAAAUAUCCAAGGGUUAUUUUCCAAUUUGGGAAAAAGAAAAGGACAAUAGCUUCAAGGAUAAUGAAUUUAAUAAAGCUAAGACACAGAAGAGGUUGCAAACAAACGCAUGCAUUUGCACUAGUGACAGGGCAGCAUUAGCAGGCAAAGGGACCAAACGUUCUUCAACCGAGGUAAGGCCAGGGUUAAUGUAAUAUACUUCCAACAUUAAUGUGUUGCUAUUUGAAUGAGUUGCUAUUUGAUUUCAACUUACAAUCCAACACGAUCACCUCGAUCUUGCACUGCAUACACAUCUUUCCACAAUUUUGAACCUUCAGGAGCAAAGAAUGUGGCAUGAUCUACUCCCCAUCUUUGCGUAAACAGGUUAGACCAUAAAGUGUCGUCUGAGGCUAAGAUUUUCCACUUCCUGCACACUUCAACAAUAAGAAGGCAUCUUUCUCCAUCAAAUUCAAUACAAGGAAACAGAAGAUGCAUAAUCCCAGCAUGUAAAUGGAAAAAUCCAGUUACACUAAAGCAGACAAUGGGCUUGCAAAGGUAUUUUAUGGCUAUGAAUGAUAUAAAUCAAAAUUCAAAGGUUGCCCUUCUCACAAAAUCAUUUUCUCUACCACUAUGGUGUUUUUUCCUGUCUGCAAGGGGUGGGUGCAUGAUGAAUACAAGAUCUCGUAUCCCCAGUUAAAAUUUGAGAACUGGAAAUUCGGGGGAGUUAGCAAAUAGACAUAACGAGCCAGUGCUUGGCAACAAUCUAAAGGAUCCUUACUCCUUAGAAGCUGAUUCUGUCGAAUCCUGAUUGACUCUUGCCCAUGUAUAUAUAAUGAUGGAGCAAUUUUGAUCGCUUCUCAAUUUCAAAACUAGUUGAGUAAUAGUAAGAAUGUUAGAGGCUCGAAACUGCAAAACAGUUAUCUGUUGGUUCGGUUCCCCUCAACUCAAACAGUGAUUUAUUGCCAAAAAGCUGCAGCAUUUCUUUGCUGAGAUGCAGGAGAACAGCCAAUCUUAGACAAAUUCAACAAUGGCAAAUUGGACUUCAGAGAGGUAGAAGUUUAAGUCCUGAUUAAGCGGAAGUUGAACUAUCCCAAAAUAAUCAAGAUUCUCAAAGCAGCCAAUAUAAUAAGGAAAUAAAGGACUGAACUCAGACAUUAACAUCGAUCAGAUGCUAAAAUGAAGGAAAAAAUUCAAAGACCAGCACUCGGUAAUCACCGUUCGGAGAAUGGAUCCCUAAUGUCACAAAACCUACAGGCACUCCGCGAAUUAUUAAUUAAUGGAGGAUAGUACUGUCUUGGGUAGAAUUUACAAAAGAAAUCGAGAUCGGAUCUUAACUAAAAAUUUAGCAAUCCAGAGCAACAUCAAGUACACUGAGAAUUCAAUCUGGGGGGAAAAAAAAGGUUUGGAGAAACCAGAAGAAAUAAAAGGAGUCAGUCGAUACUAACCCAAUUGAGCAGUUGCAAGAUUUUGAUGAUCUAACAAACUAAGAAUCUUGAGACAGACUUCGACAGGCAAUCUCUCCAUCGAGCGACAGAGAAACAAAAGUGGGAGACGAAGAAGACGGGAUGAGAUAUGAAGAUCACCCCAUCCCAUGUGCCGAUGUGACGAAUAAUCUCUUUGUUUCUUCUGCCAGCACUGCUUCAAAUUCUAAUUUACCCUUUUUUUGGGUAAUAAAUAAAUGACAAAUAUAUAUAUAUAUAUAUAUACACACACACUAGUAGUGCCCGUCUCAAAUUUAAACGGCGAGUCGCAGCAAGUGGAGGAGCAAAACUUUAUGAGGCACGUGUCUAUCACGUGUUCAGUACUUUUACCCCCAAGCCGUCUGUCUAAUGCUGUCAGAGCUUGGAGGCAUUCAACUGCAAUAAAAUCUCCCGUUGUUUUGUUUGUCACAAAGAUUUUUUUUUUUUUUUAAAAACAAAAUGUAAAAUUGGGCAUGCUCCAACUGCAAUAAAUGUUUUUUAUUACUUCGAAAUGCGGACCACAAUAAUAAGCGUAACAACCAACGUAUACUUUUUGUAAUUAUAAACCGGUAAGCCGGAGAGAUUGAUGUAGAUUAAUACGACUCGUUUUACUGCUACAGUACUACUACUGCCACCUGUAUUCUCUGGCUUCACAGAAAGUUGUCCAUUUGCAAAACUAAAAAUGACUAACCAAAUCUCUUCAUUGCCUUUGUCUGAUCCAGCAGAGCAUGGAUCCACCUGACAAAUGCACAAAUAGACUAUGUAUUCACCACCUGGCAAUAAAUGAUCCAGCAGAGCAUGGAGACACCGGGAUAUUCGGACGUCAGCGAAACCAAUUGCACAACACAAAUGGCAAAGGACAAGGGGCAGGAACGGUUGAGGCGGUUUUGUGCAUUUUGCACACCGCGUAAUUUUAUUUGCACAUAACGUAAUUUUAUUUGCAUAACGUAUAACUUUAGUAUAAAAUUUUAUGGAUCUCACACACAUUAUGAAAAUCAAGAUAUAAGAAAUAAUCUGGAUCGCACAUUUUUUUUUACCAAAAUCUGGCCGUAAACAGCUCAGGAGCGGUCCUUCUGAUUACCGCUCCUGCCCCUCAUCCAAUGACAAAUGUAGAUGAUGCAGACGCAAUUCUGUAGACAUUAAGCCAAUAACUGGCUGUACACACAUUAGAUAUAUAUAUGUAUAUAUAGACAUUAAGCCAAUAUCUGGCUGUAAAAUGGGUAUUCAUUCUAUUGCAAGACCUAUCACAAUUCCAAAUUUCUUCCAAGCUACUAAUGUUCACCGCACAAAAAUCACACAGAUAGAGAUCUCCACUAGAGUUGUUAAUCGAGCCGAGUAUUUGGCUGCCGAGUUCGACUCGAGUUUAAUUCGAGCCGAGCUCGACUCGAGCUCGUUAGGAAAACGAGCUUUAAAAUGUGUUCGAACUCAACUCGUUAAAUGUAUAUGUAGCUCGAGCUCGAGCUCGACUCGUUUAUUACAAACGAGUUGAGCUUCACGAGCUCGAACUCGAGCUCGUGCAAAUUAACCUUAAUAAAAACCUAUAAUUUUUAAUUUUUAUAAUUUUGAUUUCUAAAAUGACAAAUAUGCCCUUCAUUAACGAGUUCUAACGAGCUACUCGAGUAUCUACUCGGCUCGUUAACUAAACGAGCAUGUUUCGAGUUCGAGCUCGACUCGUUAACCAAAAUUAACGAGCCGAGCUCGAGCCUUAACGAGUCGAACUCUAACGAGCUUUCGAGCUACUCGAUUGACUUAACAGCUCUAAUCUCCACCAUCAAUUCUUUCCAAAAACUCUUCUCGAGACAUCUGUGCUACAUCGAAGUCUCAAGAAACUUGUGACAGAAAAAAGAUUCUUUUCAACCAGCUGGUGGGGGUCAAAAAUUUUUUUUAAAAAAAAUAAAUUUGUAGCCAAACAAAGCAAAACACAAGUAAAACGAUAGUGCGAACAAAAAGCUGCUCAGUAAUAAAUUGAGACUAUGAUUCAUUUGUUUUUCACUGUUGGUAUCUGCUAUGUAAGUAUAGAGACUCCUCUAUACACACAAAGGAAAACGUCACCGGACCCUUGAAUUCUUCAGCAAGAUGUAUAUGAAGAUAUCUUUUAACAACUCUAAAACCAAAUGUUCAUUAAAACAUCCAAAACAUCAUCAACCCGGUGCAGGAAGUAAUGACAAAGCGGAUGGGAUCAAUUCUCCUAACCUGUCUCUAAAGCUCAAUAUGGUGUUCAACAAAGGUUCACUAGAAUUGAUGCCCUCCCAAGAGGCUUCAUCAUCGUCUAGCAGUUGGAGCUGCUUUUCGAAAUAUCUUCUAAGACUAGCAUCCACAACAUUCACUAUACUAAAUGAUGCACUAGUGUGCAUGAAUUUUGUAACAAAAAACCCUGCCAGAAUCUGCUGGUCAGCUUUCACAAGCUCUGCUAGAAAACAUGGGAAAAGCAGUCUUGUGAAAACAAAAAUAAGGUUCAAGUUGCUUUUAUCUUCACUGGCUAUCAUAUAUUUGAGGCUUGACAACUGUGCCUCCUGCCACUGACGAGAGACAUUCCCAAACAUAUAGCAAAGACACGAGAAAGUGGCGCCAUAAGAAGAUUUGGUGAUGAUAGGUACUAUUAUUCCAGAUGAUAAUAAAAGAAGCAAGAAUUCAUAAUCUUUGCCAAAUUCAUCCGGGAUGCCUGUUUGUUUCAACUUUACCUCUACGGCUUCCAAGCACUGCAAUUGUACAGCUUCAUAUGGCAGUAACAACAUUAUCUUAAGAGCAAUAAAACAGUUCAAUUCAAGCAUAAUUUGACUUAGACAACGAGCAUCAUCUUCAUCAAGCAAAAUUUGCGUGGUAUUUCCUUUGUACUUAUCAGCCAAUCUCAGAAAUUCCUCGUACCUGGAAAGCCUUAUUAAUUUUUUGACGAUCUCCAGCCAACAUACAUGUAAAGGAUGAACCAAAAGAGUGCUGUUACUCUUCGACUCUUUCUCCCUAGAUUCUUCCAGAAAGCUUUCCCAUCCCUCAUCCCAAUCAUCAUUACUCCAACUAUUUCCAAUAUCAUCUACCUUAGGAGAAUCUUUUCUUCCAUACAUGAAAAGUUCCUCCCACACUCCCAACAUAGCUAUCAAAGUAUCAAUCUCGGAUUCAGACUUGGCAGAUUCAGACACUUUUACAAAGCAAGAAACAGCUGAUUCAGUAGUUAAUAAAUCUUCUGGUGCAAUUUCCAAGCUUGGCGAAAUAGCUGACAACAUCUGAGAUGAUUUAAGGGCAACUAAAGUAUUUGUAAAUCUGUUAGCUGUGUCUGCAACAUUUGACAUCCCACAAUCACUGGUCUUUUCAUGAUUUACACAUCCACUCUGGACAUUCUCCCACCCUUCCCAAGGAAUAACAUAGGUGUCUAGCUCAGAAGAGAACACUUUCAGCUCCUUAUCUGUAGCUCUAAUACACUGCAUAAGCUCCAGGAUAUAUACACGUGAGUGGCUAGGAAGCUGCAAGUUGUCAGAUACCUCUGCCAACUUUUUCCAAACAGAAUCCCUGACACAUUUCAAAUCCUCCAAGUUCCCUUCAAGUUUACUCAAAGAUGACAAGAAAGAGUGAAACUUUUGCUUUUCAAGAGAUCCACUAUCUAGGUCAAGCAAGAUCAUCUCCAGUAAACUUAUGUAAAGAUGGGGGAGAUCCUGGAUAUUGAUAUAACAUCUUCCAGUGCUUAAUGCCAAAGCCGACCCAGGCGAGAGUUGACUCAGUGCAUCGGUAAAUACAUAGGCAACAGCUAGAAACCUACAUCCUGAGAAAAGCAUUGCUCUGCAGAAAUUAAAAAUUUCAACUAUAGCAUCACCAUUAACUCCUGAGUUACUGAAACUAAUAAUGGUGCCCCAACCUUCAAUGGGAGAGACUUUCCCCUUUAAAAUCAAGUUAAUGAAUACUUUGAGACACGUCACUAAAGAUUCUGAACAGAAGCUUUCAUCUGAAUGCUCAAGAUAUUUAAGUUCCUGCAUGUCACUCAUCAUUUUAAGCCACAUAUUCAAUAGCUUGAGAAGACACUCCUGCCACAUUGAGUCAAAACGUUUACUUGACGGUUUCUCAAAAGGUACCAUUACUGCAACGAAUCGCAUCAUUAUGUCCAGUAUACCUGGAUAUUCAAUGAAUUUCACGUAUUUAAGGACAGCAUUAUAGGUUUGCUCAAGCUCACUCAGGAAGCAAUGAAAAUUUUCAGGGCUUUCACUAAGGCUAUCUGUUUUAAAUUGAGUUUCAAAGGUUGUCAACAAAUUCAGCACAUGGUGUCUGUAGACAUACUGCCAUGACAAAAGACCUUCAGGUAAUGAAUCUCCAUACAACCCGAUAAGGUUGCGGACCAUAUCUGCCAGCGCUUCAACAUUCUUUUCACUAAUGUGAGAAAAGACUUCAUCAUUGAAGCAAUCCCAGUUCAGAUCUGUCAAUCCAGCAAUUUUCUUGAAGUUGAGGCCACCAAUAAAGGAAACCCUGAAACAUUCUUGGCUUACAACCUUGCUGAAACGAGCUAAAUGGAUGGCAUCUAAGUGCAUUGGACUCUGGCCAAUAGUAGGAAGUGGUUCUUUUAGCUCUUCCAGCUGCAAGUAGCACUCAGCAAGUAGACCAUAUAUAUAAGCAAGCCGCUGCUUAUCAUGACCAUCAAUCAAAGGGUAGACAGACACAGUAAUGACUGUUAUGGUUUCCGCAGCAGAGGAAAUCACUUCAUUUCUGAAUUGUGAAAGAUCAGCCACAAUAUCAUCCACUGUCCAAGCCUCAGAAGUAAAAGUAGAACUUAUAUAGUGGAGUAGCACCUAAGAAUUAACAAAAAGAAAAGAAAUUUUGUAAAUUGAAAACGCAAAAUUCAGAAAACUUGAAAUUUAGAAAUACUAACAUACACUUUAAGAUUUCUCAUAUUAAAGACAUGAGGACUGAUAAUUAAUUUAAGCCUGAUGACUUUCACAGAUGAUCAUACCUUGGUCUGAUCCAAGCCAUAGGUAUGGGCUAAUUUUAUAACAUCUUCUAAUACAUGUUUCUUCUCCAGUUUUAUGGAUUCAAUAAAGGAAAAAACAACACUCUCCCUGUAGCUAGUGUCUCCAGACAAAAAACGAGCUGUUUCAACACCAGGAAUAAUCUGUUCCAAAACCCUUGAAUGAUCUGCCACACGCUUUUGGUCUUCUAAUUUUAGUUUCCACUCUCUCCAGAAUGCAGAUUGUGCCUUGUCUAAUUCAUCUCUUUCAUCUAAAUUCAACAAGUCAUGUGAGGAAAACAAAAAACAAAAUUAUUAACUUGCUUCUCCACUAUAUUGGGACCAACAAUAACUCAAAAGCAAAAGAAAUAUGAGCCUGUACUCUGGGACCAAUAUUUAGUAUUAAGCAAAGAAAGCUGGGUCAAAGAGAUCACCUGAUGCAACUGAUUUGUGUUUCUGUUGGAAUUCCCUAAGCAACAGCAUCCUCUUCUGAGCAGGCUCCUCACAUUCGCCUCUGCGGUUAUGUAAUAAACCAUAAAUCAACCCCACAUUCAUAAUGCUCAUAAUUUCGUUGUAACUUUCCCUUGCUUUCACAAAUCCUUCAAUAAUAUCCACACCAGAAAAGCCAUCCACCAGAUUUAAGAGAAAAGAGCAUCCCAUGAUGUCCUCCUCUUCAGUAACAGGAGGUUCCAUAAUUGAUUUAGCAAUGGAGAUGAUCAAAUUAUCUUUUGGAGCAAAACCGUUCCUUGCCAACCAAGAGAUAAUAGUUACAACAGCUUGUGUUCUAACACUUAUGUACUGCUUUCCUGAAACUGAGCCUGAUAUAUGUUUUUUAGUUGUUUCUGCUUUAGUACUCAGUUCAAGUAACCAAGGAAGGCGCAAAGCAGAAAAGGACAAAAUUUUCCCGUUUUCUCUAAGGAUAGAUUCCCAUUGAUAACCAUUCUCAAAAGGCAAAUUUUCUGCAACUAGAGAGAGCAAAUCUUUUACGGCAUCAAGAUGUCCUUGAUCACCAUAACCAAUAUUAUCAACCUUUCCUGAACAAGUUCCAAAAUCAACAGAACCUUGUGUACUAUAUAGUGGAUAUGAGAUGGCUAAAGUACCCUGAACUGCAGAUUCAGGAGGCUCACUCCCGGUCAGCAUCAUUAAAGUUUCACACUGUCCCAUCAUGUCAAGAUCUUUCCACCCAUUUAGCAGAUCACCAAUAGAUUCUUCAUCACAGUGGCUCAAAGAAAACCCUAAAAGAUGCUUUCGAGAAUUUACAUCCAUAUUAUCAAGGGCAGGACCUCUUGCAAGAGCAGCACAUAAGUCCCAGACAGAACCAUGACCCUUUUUAGCCAGAACACGACACAGAUCAAAAGCUAGUUGCAAAUCUCCAGCAACAGCAGCUUCUCUUGCAAUAGCUUCUUGUACGGAUGAUAUUUCAUCGUGUGAGCUCAAUCCAAGAAGUUUGGCAAUUUCAAUAAGUUCAUCAACAUUGAGAUAAGCUCCAUCUUGACUUGUAAUUGCCAACUUAAUUAUUUCCAAUGGAUCUUUCAUUUGUCUAAAUUGCAAUGGCAGGACAUUUACUCCCAGUUUUGGAAGUUUCAAGGUAAGGGCAUCAAUGAUAUCAGCUUCUACCCUGGCAUUUCUGCUACUAGGCAAGAUAUUAAGACAUUCCUUAGCCUUCCAUAUCUGAAAGAAAAUUCAGCAGGUUGUCAAUAAUUUAUUCUCUAUUGUCGCCAUUUGAAUAAAAAUAAUCUUCUUAAGAACAUUCCAACCGGAAAAAAGCCAUGCCAAUAGCCCCAUUGACAAGAUUCCAAUUAGCAAAGAUGAUUCAAGUAGCUAAAAUAGUUAAAAUAGAUCAGAUAUGUCAUAAGUGAGAAAAUAUACUUCUAAGUAAGCCAACAUAUUCUAAUAUUUCUUUCACUAUAACAAUCACACUUGAGACCAAAAGUAGCACGAGUCAUUUCUAAACUGCAGUUAUAUACUCCAGCAACAAUUCACUCAAACAAACCCUCAUCUUUGCUCCCCACCCCCAAAUUCACAUGAAACUCAGAUGUCUGAGAGAUGUGAGAGGAUUCCCAAGAAAAUUUUAGUACAGUACACCUGUGUCAUGUGUCAUGCCUAGAAUAAGUAAAUUUAUAGCUCUGAAGUUAAAUGUGUACUUGAAACCAGCCACCCCCAACUUAUACACCAUUAAAACAUCUAAAAAAUUAGAAUGUAUUAGACAUCAUUACAUUGUCUCAACUGGUAUUCAUGCAAACUAUCAAUAACUGCCUUGAGUUCAUUGCUUAAAAAUUGUCAGACAUUUCAGUCUGACGUAAAUAAUUUCCAUUUUGAAUGUCUUAUCCCAAAAAGUUAUAGAGUAAGCCCACAACACCAACAUGCCAUCAAUAGAUGGAAGAAGCUUGUCUUAUGCCACUGUUGUAAGACAUUGAUCACAGCUGGAAAACUUGUACAAACAGCAACCCACUUCAGACUCCCAACUUAAUGGAAGAGUACAGUACAACACAACUUAAACACUUACUUCUGGACAAUCAAGACUUGAUGCUGAGAAGAAAUACUCUCUUGCAGCUUGAAUGACCAGAGUUUCGGCCUUAUCUGCAGCCAAAACUACUGAACCUGUACUUUUUAAAUAGUUCCUUGCAAGUGGAAAUUUUCCAGCUUUAAGCAAUCCCCUACAGAACUCUAUCAACAUGUACUCCAAAUCAAGGAAGGGAAAAGCUUUUUCUUGCAAACACUGCAAAUCACGCCACAUGUUAGCCCAGUCAUUAUCUGAUCGACCCAUCUGCCUCCGAAUAAAUUUGGAGAGUAUAAGACGAAGUGUCUGUUUUACACCUUUUUCAUCUGUAUGUGGCUCCCUAAAAUAGUUAAUAGGCUUUGGCACCUGAAGACCAAUACGAGAAUAAGAUGAUAAACACAUGAAUAACAACAUUUGAAUAAAAUGAUACCCAGUAGGGCAUCUCCAACUGCAACAUUGCAAUCAAUGCUUCUAACUACGAAUGCUUUUACAUCAGAAUGUAGCUUGAAAGAAAUAUAAAAGCCAGACAAGAAAACACAGGACUCAGCUAUUAGAUGUGACUUAUACUCAAUUUCACAAUGCAUACAGUCGUUUCCCCAUGUCCCAAUUGAAUGUCUUGCCUUUUUGGUCUUUUUCAACACAAUGUCUGCUUUCCAAAAUGGAGAAGUUCAAAUGCUUCUCUUCUUCUGUAUUUUAUACAUCAAAAGAGACAGCAGCCUCAUAUUUCCCCACUAUCUUUUAAAUUUGAGUUUGAUUAAUAUGUGGGUCAAUAUAUUCCUUACUUUCUAGUAAAACUAUCAUAUUUUUUAACUCACAUUCCAAAUUUCCAAACUGAGGCAUCCAAUUCCACAUGGCAAUAGUAGAAUAAAAUUGACAUCUCAGAAAGCUUUCGAAAUUCUAAUGGUAGAAAAGUCUGUUAUAUUUUGAAUAAAAAAUUGUAGAUACUCUGUCCAAGCCUGCUAGUCUUUGAAGGUACUAAAAGCAACAUUUUCGCUAAAUCAAUGUCACCCUCACCAGGAGACAAACUGAUAAGAACCAAUAUCAAAGAACAAUGACCUAAUUGAAAAACUUCUUUUCUGUACGAAAUCCGUCCUAAACAAUGGCUGGCAGAGGCAGAAGACCCGACAAUAAUUUUGUUAUACUCCUCUUACAAACUCCAAGGAUCCAAAAGCAGGUUUACAUGGUUAAGACAGUAAUGAGAUACUCCUUAACAUCCAUUUCUCUUUGUUAUACAUCAGACUACAAGACUAAGAACAGAAAAGAAAUUCCAGGAAAUUUAAUGGAAUCACAAUUUUUUGUUUAAAAGGUACUCAGAUCCAUGAAUUGAAUAAAAUUGAAACAUAAACUGAAGAUUGAAACACAAGACCAACUAGGAAAGCCCAAAGGAGCACUAAAGCAGACAGUGCUGCAAGUCUGCAUCUCAGGUCAUAAAUAUGAGUACAGAAAGCAGACCAAAACAUAAGCCAAUUAAUGCUCAAAUCAAAACAGUCAAAACUACUAAAAUUGGAAACAUGCCAGACCAAUAACCAUGGUAAUCGCCAAAGUCCAUCCAGCUGAAACCAAAACAGCCAAAACUAUUUAAGAAAAGCAACAUGUGAGGUCCAUAAACCUGGUAAAUUGCCAAAAUCCUCCCUGCUUCAACGUGGCCUUCAGUGACUUUCAAUCUUGUCUUGAGGUCCUCAUUUCCAUAACCUGUAACAUCCAAUUGCAUUAUCUUUGGAGACAUUACAUUGAACAAUAAUUAUGGUCAGACUUGAGCAAUUUGAUGCACAGAACUUAUUUAGCAAGUUGCAAUUUAUUAUAACCAAAAUGAAUUUUGCAGUCAAUAACCAAUAGACCCUCAACAAGUACAACUUAUUUAUUUGUUAAAACUGCUAAAGAGCACUUCCUUAUUGUUAAAAAUAUACUAUAGAAGCCCUUCUAAACUCCUCAUCCCAUUUGAAUGUAAUUUCAGACCUUGCCCCAGCCGGGGAAGAAAAUGUAUUUUUGUCUAUCAUACUUGAAAGCCAUAGCCAAGCUACACAAAGAAAUAACUUCCUGUUUUGUUUAACCUAUUCAUGGUUAAGGUCUGCAUACUCUGCUAUCAGGUAUGAAACUGAUAACCUAAGUAAAACAUCAUCAUCAAUCCAGCUACUCUGCUAACCAUUUUCCACUUCAAAUUAGUGAGUUGGAACCCUGUAAUUUCAAGAAUACAAACCUCGUAAAUGUUGAAGUUUAGAUAAAAUUGAGGACAUUGUACUCCAUCUAUCUGUUGAAGAGCACAAAUACAUGCACUGCAGAGCACAAUCCACCACCUGGGCCUCAUCUUUGAAAAAGUAACUAUUUUCCAGAUCCGUGCACCCUUCUUCAAAUACUAUCAAACAUAUCCCUAGUUUAUUUUCCAAAGAAAUCUCUUUUAGCCAUCUAACCAGAAAUGAGUCAGCUGUAUUAUCCAUAGUACAUUGGCUACCAGUCAGCUCAUUUGUAGAAUCAGCAGCUAUAUGAUAAUCCCUCUUUUGCAUGAAUGGGAUUGCAAUAUUCUUUAGUCUUCCAAUUACGUCUUCCUCUGUCACUCCCAUGAGCAGCAAUCUGAAUUUUUCAUAGUCAGAUAACUUCUCCCAAGCAAUAAGACUAAGAAAAAAAUUUCUUUUCCCUUCAUUUUCAUCAGAAUAAAUAAGCUGGCGCAGGAAAGAGAUGUCCUCAUAGAAAUGCUGCAACUCUGAGAUCCCCUUUUGAUAACCAAAGUCAACCAAGCACAUGCAGUUUUCAAGCUGUCCACUUAAGGUAUCAAUAUCUCUGGCUCUAUUUUUGUACCAGCUAGAAAGAUCAGCAGUUGAUGGCCAUUGAAAUCCCAUGUAUCUCUUGACAAUUGGUUCAGUUCUAAUAAGAACCCUGCUACCAUGGUCCUCAGGUAGACUGUUUAUAAAUGAGACCAUCUUAUCACAUUCAACCCAAUCUUCCUCCCUCAGAGCAAUACUUGCAGGAGGGGAAUUCCCAGGAAGGAGCUGUGCAUAACUCUGAACUGGAACUGUCUCAGGAAUAGCAGCAAGAACCUCCAAUAUGUAAGGACCGAGCGAAAAUGGAUGUCGUUUGAAAAGAAGGUUUAACGCUCCAAUCUUCCCUGUCUCUGCAAGGGCUACAGCAGCGUCAUUAAUUGGUAAAUUACGAAAUUUAUUGUACUCUUGAGCCGAGAACCUGCAAAAUGGUUUAGUUAAGGGCAUAGUCAUUGGGAACUAUUUUAGCAUCCUACAACUGCAAGACAAAACAAUGCUAGGAAGAUUACAAGACCACCAGAUUCAAAAGUUCAUAAACUGAUAUUGUGAAACCCAAAAAAAACUGCAGGCUACCAUAUAAUAUGCUAAUAUAAACGACACAAGAUUUUCGAGCCUGAAUGUUCUCCCCUACUUGGUUGUCAGGACAAAUAUCGCCCUCCAGAAAUCCAGUCCAAAGUCUGCUUAAGUUCAGCAAUUCAAUCCUAAACACUUGUGCCCAUACUACCCAAUAGUCUGUUCAGGUGAUCAAAAUUCUGCAUAUAACAUUGUCUCAGAAUUACAUUCCCUGAAUUCUUUAUGCAGAGAAUAAGCCAGAAUCACUUGCAACACUGCCUUGGUUCAAAAACUUAAAUUCCCUCUUCUCCUUACUAUUUCAUUCUUUUUGUGGUCGAGUUUUGGGAAGGAUUUCAGGGGUUUGUGUAGGAGAUGGAUGUUUAUUCCCCAGUGAGUUCAUCAGCCAGCUCAUACUAUAAACAAAUCAUUGAAGGUUGUGAUGUUUGAAAGCAAUCAGGGAAGGAGAAUGGUAGGAAAAAAUUCCUCACUCUAAGCAGUGCUCUCCGAGAUGUCAAGGAUCACGAAAUUGCUUAAAGAAAACAUAAAAACAUAUUGCUGCCCAAAUAUACAAAAUAACAUAAGAUAAAGCUUUAGUACUUGUCCUUAAACAAGAGAAAACUUAUAUUUAUGUAUACAUACAUAAGUAUAUAUAUGUAGGAAGAAACAAAACUUAUAUUUCUUUAAACAGUGAAAAUUAAAAUAUUAUUACCUUCCCAUGUUUAUCCCAAGAAAUGUUUCCAGCCGGUCUCUAAACAAAAGCAACUUUAAUCUUGCCAUACGGAAGUCCCAAACUUGGCUGCUCUCAUCUUCUUGUGAUUUAGAAAACCUGUAAUUCUCUGUUAGGUGGAGUCCAUAAGCCAGUAAAGCCUUCUCUGCAUCUUCUGUUGGUCCUACACAAUCUACACAUUCAGACAGGACAAAAACAUGGUCCUUGAUAGUUGACAGCAAUUUAUUUAUCUCGUUUACUCCUUGACUAGAAGACAUCCAUUGUGACUUCAACAGUUCAUCUUUAUCCAACCCAUGAUGAUGAGCAAAGCUAAGAGCAACUUGAUAGUCUUGUUUACGUAUUAGCAAGUCAUACAUUUCAGAAACAGAUCUUUCUGAAAGUGAAAAUAAAUUCCACUGCAGUUUAGCACAUUCCAGCUGCUCAAUAAGACGCAAGUCUGUUGUUCUUUUUUCUUCAGAUGAUUUAUAGCUUUGCCCAGAUGUACUCUCCAAAAGAAAAAGGCAUCCAGACAACUUCUCCACUGUUUCCAUGAUAGGCAUUGAGUAAACAGGAUCUUUCUCCAACAAUUUAACACCAGUAGGGACAUCAAACAUCGUAAUAGUGCCAUCCCUUUUCGCAACAGCAAGUACAUCAUCAGACCACCAAGUAAAGUCAACUAUAUCAUUCAGAAAAUCCAUGCCUCCACCAGACAAGUCAUUUUUCAUUUGCAGAUCAUGCCUCUUUGUAUUGUAAAGAUUUGAUAGGCUCCACUGCUUUUGAUGAAACUUAAAAAUAAGCAAGCAACCCCUAGCAUCAAGAGUGCCAACAAAAUUUCCCUCAGGUGAGAUGAGCACCUUCGGAGAAAUCAACUGAUCUACACCUUUUGCUUCAGCAUAUAAACCUUCAAAAUCAAUGGAUACCACGAGCUCCAAAUCUGAGCUGCUACUUCUUUGCCAAAGAGAUAGACUAGGUGAUCCUGAGGAAAUUGUCAAACACUAAAUAUCAUAGAAGAUUUUUUAGAAUAAAUAUUAAAAAAAAAUUACAUCAAGGAAGAGUUAAUUAUUUCUGAAACAUGGACUAUCCAGGGAGAUAAUUGGCUAUUUAGCAAAACAGAAUGCCUCUAUUAAGUAUAUUUUGUUGAUAAUAGACUUCUGAAAAAAAAAAAUCUUUCCCCUGACUUAAUUAAAGUAGAUGGAUUCCAAAUAAUGCAAUAAAUUACAACUUUCCAAACUUACAGUAUCUUAGUAAACAACAGAAUGUAGGAAUGUUUUACACUAGAAGACUGCCAAAUGACUAGAAACAAGUGAAGAACUAAAGUUUUGUACAAUUUAUCCUCAUGCAAAAUCCACUUUUUAAGAAUAACAGGCUAACUCUGACCUUUAUGCCUCUUUUUACAAGAUGUUUCAAGUAAUCAGUCUGAUAAAAAAAAAUAGUUCAUAGAUGAAACUAUUGUCUAUUGCACUCGCUAUUUCAAUUUAUAUAACUAAAGUUGUUAAAAGAGAGGUUCACAGCAACAAUCAGUAAUCACAUGCUAUAGGCAGUAACUCAGAGGACUUAUUUGCCAAUUAUUUGUAUAUAGGCUAACCACAAAAGAAGAUUGAGAACAAAAGUAACAAAAUUCACAAAAGAAGAAAGUUACUACAUCUUUGUUCUUCAAAUUAACUAAACUCAUUCUUAGACCAUAUUUCCAAUUCAGAGGUACAGCCUUUAGGGGUGCACUGUCAACUAGUUAGAGUUUCUUUUAUCCAACAUUCUACCAACACAAAUACUUUGAGAUCUAUUCAACUCCAAAAUUUUACUAACCUGGAUGUCCUGACGUAUUGGAAAUGGCAACACCACUGGCACUACUGAUUGUAGCAAACAAAGACAACUUUGGAUGGUGAUGCAUACAGAAAACAUUCUUUGGGAAUUGUUUCUUCAGCAUUACUCCAGUACGUGCAAGAGGAGCUGCAGACAUGGAGGCACUUAGAUCCUGACUAAUUUCUAAAUCGUGGAGUGAACCAUCUGAUGUAAGAAUGCUAAAGGUACACCUGUAAAAAAUGUUAGCAACUAAGAGACCGACAAUUGAAAUAGGAAAAUAUGGAAAAAGCAAUUAGCAGGGAGAAGGAACCUCAAAUCAAACAUAGAGCUUACAAGCAUGCUUUGUUCACAUCAUUGUCAUCCUGCAAAAUCAAGCACAAUAUUGGUAGGGAGACUUUAAGAUGCUUCCCGGUGAUUCUGGUAAUUUCUUCUCCAUUAGCUUUAAUGAAAUAUAGAGUAUUAGUGUCAUCAAAAACUCCAAGGACUUCAUGAGCUUCUGACCAUGUACCACAUGUGAAGGCACUGAUGUUUCCACCUAGUAGAUAAAAACAAGCAAGAAGCACUGUUAAGCUUAUGGAAACGCAUGAAUAUCAGAGCCCAACCAUCAAGACUGGAUUAACAUGUUUAUUUUUCACGUUUUGAAUCAAUGAUAGCACCCCUCAAAUUUCUAUAACUUAUUGGUAAAAAAGGAAAUACAACAUCAACAUUAGCUCCCAUCAUGCGAGAGCCCUAAAAGAUGAAAGCAAUAAACAACUACAGAGAUGCCAUUACACACCAAAUAAUGGUCUAAUUAUAAUCUUGUGGCAUUAGAACAAACAGUUCACCCUGGUUGUAGAUAGAAGAUCCUCCCAAAUUCUACAAACUCAUUGUAACAUACAUUAUUUGAUAAUUUUCCAAGAUUGGCUAACUCACUGGUAAAAGUGCCACUUGGUUGUUGAUAGUCAUCAUCUUUCUGCAAGAACGUUAUCUGAUUCCUGAAAGCUACAGCCACUCGAUCAGCAUGGGGAGAGAUGAACAAAGCUGCAUGCUUACCCACCUUUUUUGGAUUCCUAUAUUCUGUCCAUCUCUCCUUCAUUUGGGUGAUGCCUUCAUGGUUGAGGAAGUUUCAGAACAAACAUCAGCAAGCAAAGAAAUUCAGAGAGAGAGAGAGAGAGAAGCAUGUGUGUGCAUAUAUAGUUCCAGGAGAGAAUGACAUAUGAACACUAGAAAAUCAAGUUGAAGCAAAAUGUUAUAUAGCUUUGAAAUGGAACAAGGAACAGCUGAAUGACUUUGAAGUCCAAGACUAUUUUGAUUUCCAAAUGUCACUGCCUGCGUUAUCAAAUUAAUCGAUCAAUAAUCAGCCACAGAGUCCCUCAAGCCUAAAUUACUUAAAUUAUAUAAUAUUUCCAAGCCGAAUUUGCAAUUGCCUAGCACAAGUACAUUAAACAUGCAGAAGACUGAAUGCAAGCUGAAAAUAUGCAAACUGAAAAUGGUAUAGCUUUUGCGUAUUCACAAGUUUGGAUUCAACCCUAAUAAAGGUCCAGUAUCACGUAUUUAUGAGUACUAGUUGUACAACUUACACCUAUAUUUGAACAUCACGAACUCAAGCAUCUGAUACAACUAGUGAGUUACCAUUAACAGUCAGCAUUAGAAGUACCUCGCAACGAAAAGUAGGAGAGUAAAGUCCUUCCGCGGCCAUCGUCCACCUAAAUUGGUCAUAAAAAAUAAGCAAUCAGGAUAUGCAAAUUUCUGGCGAAAAAAGGACAUAGCCAAGAAAAUGCAGAGUGAACCUGUUGACCCGUCGGAGGGUAAUUGGAGUAAGUUCCUGAAGCGUGACGCCGUACUUCAAACAGAACUUCUCUCACGCCUCCGCCCAUGGAUGGAUUCCAAUUAUGUGUAGCGUCAAUUUCCAUUUCCAAGUUGCCGCCGGUGGGAUACUAGAUGCUUAUAAAUCCCUCGCCAGGUUUCUCAAAAUCUCGUCCCCUGAGAAACCAUGGAAAGCGGACCAAAUCCUUGCGGAUCAACUGUCUCGAAAAUAAAUCGGUUCGGUUCGGUUCCUCUGUUCUAAGCCGAAAAGGUCGCCGGUUUAGACUUUCGGCUGAAAGUAAGUUAGUUAUUAUUUAUUAAUAAGGGUUUGCUUAACGGUGUUAAGGUUUAUUGAAAAAGUGAAGUUUAAUUAGGUGGCAAGCGCUUUAUUGCAAGGAGUAAUAAAAUGCGGGUCCGCAUUUAAAUAAUAAUUAAUACUAAUUUAUAUGUAAAUCAUGUGCUAACCAAUACGUGUUUGUAUUUAUUCCAACCCGUAAAAAAAAUGACCCAAGAAAACAGCAAUUAAUGACGCUAUCCUUUUUCUUCCUUUUAUUUAUUUUUCCUUAAAACCUGGUUCAACUUCCUCUACUACCAGCGAAGAUACUUGCUCUGACGUAAAAAAAAAAAAAAGAAAAUUAGGUUAAGAAUAUAUGGAGUAACUUUUCUUUAACAAAAGAAUAUGGGAUAAUUUUACUAACCUUCAUUGAUGUUUUUAGCAAGUGUGGGAAGCUUCUCUCAAGUUUAAGAAUUACAUCUACCUCUUUUGCUUUUCACUGUUUGUGUGAAAAUUUAAGUACUUAAAUUUUCUCUCGAAAAUUCCAGAAUACCCUUUCGUAAUAAAAGAACAAAAUAGUUUAUCGUGCAUCUUCUUCAACCUCUACACAGACCUAAUAUUCUGUAGUAAGAACUAGCCAAGCACACUCCAAACUGUAAUCGCUAAUCCAAGCAAUGCCGGCAGCCCAAGAAAUGCUGAUCAUUACUUGUUUCAGCGCUUGCCUAAAGCCUCGUCUGUGCUCAAAUGCUUGCCCCAAAAAAAAAUUUCAUUGACACUCAAUCACAAUCCAAAUAUAACCUCCAGGGCUUGACAAUUCUCAAACAUAAAACAAUCUAGCUUUACACCACCAUUACCAAUAUUGAAGCAAUGUCCCUAUAUUUCCAAGAAUAUUAUCAUCAUAGAAACAUAGAACAAAUUCCACCUCCAUUGCAAAACCACAACUAAAAAUUGCUAAUGCAAGGAAACAAAUCCAAAUACAACAAAAAAUUUUAGUCAAAACAAUGCAAAUUAACCACCUUUGUUCCUCAUGAUAAUAUCAGAAACAUCCCUUGAGGUUUCUCCAAGUAUUACUUGACACCUUUGAGGUUUUAAAAAUAUCAUUUACCUCCCUCAGUAAUUGUAAAAAGACCAUAUUAACCCUCACUUGACACAUAAUUCACAUAUCGAAUAAAUGGAGUUUAAAAAUAAAAAAAAAACUAAAUGAAAGUCACUUUCUUCUCUUUCUCUUUUCUCGAUCAUUCUCUCUUACUCUUUUUUGGAUGACUAUGCAAUAUUUUAUUUAUAAAUUAUAAUAAAUUGAAUUUUGUUUAUCUUUUAUUUUUGUGAUUGUGAUAAAGUGGGAAAUGAUUUAUUUGCUUAUUUUGACUUAAUUUUUAUAAUUAUUGGUACAAUUUAAUGGUUUGGGCAAGCGGUUGAGAAGGUGUUGGAAAAAAUAUAUAAAAUUUAUAAGAAAUUGAUUUUGAACAUAUAGAGUUAAAUUGGUGCAAGUAUAUUUCUUUUCAAACAUCUUUUUUUUUAUUUUUAAAAUUUAUAUUUUUACGGGGUAUAGUAUUAUGAUGUGGUAGUACUACAAGAAAUUACUUUUUAGGUGAUACUUUUCUUGAAGUGAACAAAAUAGUUUACAAAUAUUUUUAUUUGGCAAGUAAAAGCGUAGUUUAGGAUUUUUAAAAAAUGUUACACAAAUAACAAAAAUAAGGGAGGUAAGUGAUAUUUUUAAAACCUUAGGAUGCUAGGUGAUAUUAAGAGAAACCUCAAGGGAGGUUUCUAAUAUUAUCCCUUAUUCCUCUUUCUUGUUCAAUUAUGAAUAUGAUGAUCUAUUUCUCAAAAUUACGAGGCUUUUUCUCUUCAUCUAACUUGACAAUGAUAUUUGCUCCUCAUCUAAACUUGUAAUUUGACAAUUUCAACUUGCUAUAUCUAUAGAUUCUAAACUUAAAAAGUGAUAGGAUUUAGUAGUAUAGUGAUUAAGAAAAAGAGGAGGAACAAUAGUAGACAACAACCAUAGAGAAGAUUAGUGGUUAUAGUGAAAGGCAAUUGUUGAUUGGAGUAGAGCUAUGGAAAGAUAAAGUGAAAAUGUAAGAAGAGAAGAUAAAUAAGAAAUUGGGUAUUCGUUAAGAGUUGGAGAGAAUAACGUUUUUGGUUGGGAAUUAUAGAGGCGGGGUUUCAUUUUUUAAAAUUUUAUUUUUGGUUUUAUAUAUCCCUAUAGAUUAUUUAUUAAGUGAAGGACAUUAUAUAAUUUAUUGCUCUUGGAGAAGUCAGUGUAAUUAUUUAAGCUUGAGGAGAAUUAAGUGAAAUUGUUAAAAAUCUAAAGAAAGGUUUCUGAAAUUAUCAUAUGAGAAUAUUUAUUGAUGUUGAUUAACAUUUGGACCCCACAUUUUGUUUAUGCCUACUAUUAGACCCCUUAAACGACACCCCUUUGGACUAAAAAGUCCAAAAGUGGAGUGCAACUGAUGCUCGAGACGUCCCCUCGCGGCAAAGGUUAACAAACAAGACUAUGAGAGUCACUAAUGGAUAAAGCUUAUGUUUAGUAACGGUAAAGGUCAACAAAUAAUGAUGGGGCAAAGUGACGAUAAAAAAGUAUCAAGGGGCAAAGUACAACUUAUACCUAAUUAACUGCAUGGGAUUUAGUGCGAUUAACACUAUAAAGAAUGAUGAAUGCAUGAGAGGCUAUAGGCGCCUUUGAAUUCCCAAAACUAGAAAAAAACAAGAGGAAAUCACUGAGUUUUGGCUCAAUGAUCACCAAAAAAGAACUUAAUACGAUCUCCGUUGCAUAAGAAACUCGUGAUUAACAAGCCCGGAUUGUGAUGGUGAUAUUCAAGUUUGGCAGCGGAAAACCUACAACCCAAUCUAACCCCCGAGGUGUGAACUUCUUGGUAUUAUCUCAACCCACAACCCAACGAGUUAACGAACCAAGGUUUUAGUAAAAUGGCUCCACAAUCAAGUGCGAUUCUUAAUUGAUAAGCCAAAGUUGAACACUCAAGAGAACCUCUAAAGUAUUCAAAAGGAGCUCACGAAAAAUCAAGAGAGAAUCUCUCAAUUUUUGCUGGAAAAUUCGAUUAAUUAUUCUGGAAAAACGUUUUAACUCUUUUAUAGAAUUUACAAAACACGAAACCAACUCCAACUAGGAAACUAACUUGACUUUCUUGGGCCUAAUGGAAACUGUUAGGUUGGCCGUGCUUAAUGACUCUAAAAAUGACAUGAAAAUGACUCAAAGUAGCAACUAAAUGAUUCGGUCUAUCCUCAAGACUAAACUAGGCGAAUUACAUCAAUUUUAACCUACUUAAGCAACUACUAAACAAAUGACUAAACAACGAAUCUAAGAGCUAGUUUGCUGGACCACUUGAAGCAAUGUAACAAUUGAUUGUUCUUCUUGAUUAAGAUUUUCAACCACUUUAGAACCUUCAAUUGAUUCACGAACAACAUGAACUAAUGUAUUGAGUUGUUCUUUAAAUUUCUUAACACGAGCUCUAGUAAUCGGUCCAACUGGAACAAUAACUUGAUCAUUACUCGAACCACGAACUUGAUCAUCAACGCCUUCAAUCUCGUUGCUAUCAGGACUAAAACCCUUUUUGAACUGUAGAUCAAGAAUUCAAAUCGUACAUGUUUUGAAAAAAAUUCAAAAGAAGUGUCAGAACAUUUUUUUAAUCCCUAUAGAAUAAGAUAGAUUAUAUUAUAUGCAAAAAAUAUUAAAAGAAAAAACAAGAAGGGAAAAAAAAAGGGGAAAGAUUCUAUCAACUCUCGGACAAGGUAUCCACCGCUAGCUAGCUAGGCUACAAUUGCCUACCCUAUGAGGCCUGGAAAGGUUAGUUUCCUAUACUACUAGUAGUAAAAUAUGUCUACAGACGAAAAAGAAAAGGAAAAAGGGUUUGCUGAAAUUGAAGCAGACGAUGACCACCGAAUUUAACAAAUGUACAAUUUGUUCAUCAUUGAGACAAACUUUUGUGCCCACUGCUUUCAGAUUAGGUAUUCUCUUUUCUCAAUUAAAAAAAAAAAAAAAACUCAAAAAAGGAAGACCCCUCCACUUCCUUUGAAAAUCAAAAGUACCAAAAUAUAACUUCGCGGCGUGAAGGUUAGUUGCCUGCACAUUUGCUAGUACUAAUCAAGGUUUGUAAAAUCGGGAUCCUACGUAGGAUCGAUUUUAGUUUCACAGGAUCGGAUCGUAGGAUCGGAUCGUAGAAUCGUAAGAUCCUACCAAAAGCUCUUAAUUGCAAUUAAAUGUUGCAAUUCUUUGAUAAAUUACAAAUAUACCACAAAUAUUUUCAUUUAUUGGCAAAAUGGAGCUUCGUAUUUCACAAAUUUACAAAAAAAUUGUAGGAUCGUACGAUCCUGCGAUCCUACGAUCCUGCACGAUCCUGCUACGAUUCUAUGCGAUCCUGCAAAAAAUUAAUAUGAUUUGCGACUCUGCAUAAGAUCCGGAUCGCGAUUUUGACAACUAUGGUACUAAUACGUACCUAGCUAGCUAGCGUCUCAAGUAGGAACCCAAUUAGUUGGAUUCGCUUUUUGCACCAUUAAGGGUGGAAAUUAGCUAGCUUUCUGCGCAAAUCUGUCUUGAUCUGAAUCACCACUGUAAUCAAUCAAUGAAAAGAGUUAAAACGCUUAUUGCCAAUUUCUAGUAUUGCAAAUUGUUGAUGAUGAAAUGGUAAAGGUGUCGUCGAUUUGUUAGGUCACGCAUGUUUCCGGUCAAAGAGUGAUUAGCCUAUGUUGUUGUUCCUGAAUGAAUUAAUUUGACCAUGAAAUAUUAAUAUAGUACUACAAAAUGUUACACGACAAAGACAUGGCAACAAAUCCGUACAAAAAUCACGUGCGAUUUUUCAAAGUAUCCUCCACUAUGCUCGAUUUUUUUUUUUUUUUUUUAUAAACAAAAAAAAACUGGAAAGGACCGUUAGUGGAUUCUUAGUCUUAGUAUCAUGAUAAUUUGUUAUUUCUUAGCCUAAUUGACUGGGAAAUGAUAAUUUGUUCUCUAUAGACGACUGAUUGACCAGGCGCAGGAAUUGCUUUCUCAUCUCUUAUAGUCAGUCCUUGGCUGUGGGAGCCAUUUCACUGCCGGACAAUUGUUUCAGACAUAUCAAAGUUAAGGAAGGUGGUUGAGCAUAUACGGCAAAUGGUCACUGUCUGGCAUUAUAAAAAGAGGCGAGGCAGCACUCUUCUUGAUCAUCUUCAAGAAGUAAAGACUCUUUCUGCCGCAGGGGGAGAAAGUGAGCCAAAUUAAGGGAGAAGCAGACAUGGCGUGAUACUGGUUGCGGCUCAUAACAUUCUGUCGUAGAGCAGAGCAGAACAGCUUGAAGAUGAGCCGAACCAAUAUCACUCUUGUAUGCUUCCCCGUUCAAUAAUUAACGUGUUCCGUCUAUAAAUUCUUUCUCAUUGAUCAAGGCCAUCUGGAAGUACGUGAUCUAUAAAGCCUUCACCUUUCUUCUUCUUCUUCUUCUUCUUCAUUUUUAAAUCCUAACAAUAUUGCUGUAUAGUAAUUUGCAGGUUUCCGGCCGGUGCUGCAGAGAACAAGAAAACGUUUCGAGCCAUUAAGUGCGCGCCUCACUUUGUGGUUUCUUUUGCUUGAUCUUGCCAUCACUAAUUCUCUCCGCAGGGACUUGAUUUCCAGUAACCAAACUUUUGUUGGAGCGUAUUUCGAUUUGGAACAGUUAGAUAAAUGACUGAUAUUGCAUCAUACAUAACCGAUUAUAAUUUAUAUCCAUCCAUCAUUUCAACAGGGUUUAGGUCAUUUUUGGGCACCAUUUUUACGGGUCAGAAUUUAAUUACCAAGGGCUAUUUUCUACUUUAUUUAUUCCCUCAGUAACUCCAAAAACAGAUACCAAUAUCCAACUUCACCGGCCCGUAACAUAUAUUAUCUGCUUGAAUGAUUAUGAUGAUAUAUGCUACCGGUCGAUGUAACAUUAAUUACGGGUCGAUGUAUCGAGUACUCGCCAAAGCCACGCACAGACUUUCUUCACGCAUCUAAGUUUUGUGCUCAUGACCAAAAGAUAGCGAGGUUUUGCAGUUUCAGCAGUCCUUACAAACGAUUAAUAUUUUGUUUGUGCAUUCCCAGCCUUUAUUUGACUUUAAAUCUACCGCGACAAGCUAACUACGGCUUGAGUAGUAGCAGUAGCCUGCUGUGUCUUUGCUAAGUUUACGGGAAGGAGGGCGGAGGAACGAUUGCUUAGUAUACAAGCAAAUCAAGUUAAUUACAAGCAAAUUAAGGCAAGAAGAUCUCUGCUGAGGUUACAGAAUAUCCCAUAAAUUAAAGGGAUCGGGAGUUCAAAUUCCCCUACUUCCUUCGUGUUUCUUUUAAGUCCCAUCCCUUCUGUUUGCUAAGAAAAAAGAUAUGUAUAUCAGAAAAAAGAAAAACUAGGGUCUCCGCGAUCAGACGCAUGUAAUGUACUUCCCAAUACUGAAAGAAGUAGGUAGCCAUAUACGUCUCCCAUGUUUUUUCACAUUCAUAGAGAGGGAGUAGUAACCCAACAACCUGCCUAAUGGAUCUCGCAGCACUUGCUUAUUCUUCUAUUUUGUUCAGUUCUUGCAGCAGGGCUGUCAGAAACCCUCGUCCAUUCAUUCCGUAGAUUGGAAGUAGGAAUUUGAUUCGCUACUGUAGACACGUGUGUGAUGGAAAAGAAAAAGCAGAAUUCUGUCGUUUACUGCAAAGACACGUACGAUAAUAGGAAAUUGCAGAAAUUAAUUAGGUGUGGAAUACCCCAAUAAUAAUAUAAAAUAGUAUUAAGGAAGCACGUACAUAUUAACAGUAAUACCGAAUUACUUACUUUUGGACGUAGUACUACGAAUAAAAUAUCCAUUGUCAUUUUCCAGCAGCUUAAGUUAUACUACUACUACUACUAUAUAACUCAGCAAAGCAUGUCAUUUUCAAGAAUGCGAAAUAAAAAAAAAAAAAGGCUGUUUGACGUUGAAACUUUCAAAUUCACCUGCCCCUUUAAAUUUUAGAUUAUCCUCGAUCUUAUAAUGUAUGGAGAGGUAAUUUUCAAAUCCCAUAGACAUACAUCAUCUCCAUCUCCAUGACAGAAUCACUACUGAGUAAUUAAUUAAUAGAAAUUAAACAAAACCAUCCCUAGGCAGUAGGCACAGGACAUCAAUAAGAAUAUGUGUAAAACAAGUUGGUCGCUUAAUUGUCCUUUAGCUUUAAAUACAUAUGUUCUCCAAGGUAUACUACUCUACCGUGUCUUUUACACCAAGAAACAUAAUAAUUUUAUUGUGCAGAAGAAGGUCGGCAAUUGCUGGAACUGGAAGGAGGGUCGUUAUACAUAUGAUGGUCUUUAAAGGCGGCAAUCAAUUGAAGAGUCAUAGUAUAUAAUUUGGAGGAUGGAUACAGGCAACCAGCUUCUACGUUGGUAUUUCAAGAUUUUGAUUAUUGAUUUCCGAAACGAAUGCUUAUGAGCCAAAAGCAAGCAGCAUACAGUCACCAAAAUCGUAUAACAAUAUUAUAUUUAUGAUUUGAUAGAGGGUUAAUUCCACUUUGUCCCCCCAAACUUUGGACGAUUACCCACUUAAGUCCCUAAACUUCAAAAUGGGACACUUAAGUCCCUAAACUUAUAAAUACCUUCCACUUAAGGAAAAUUGUUAACAAAUCCUGAAUGUCGUUGGUGGUCGAAGUGUCCCAUUUUAUAAGGGUUUAGGGUUAUAAGUGUCCCAUUUUAUAAGUUCAGGGACUUAAGUGGGAGGUAUUUAUAAGUUUAGGGACUUAAGUGUUCCAUUUUGAAGUUUAGGGACUUAAGUGGAUAAUCGUCCAAAGUUUGGGGGGACAAAGUGGAAUUAACCCUUUGAUAGAAUUAGAACCGAGUGCUCGAAACUGAAGAGUUCCAUCUCUCUCUCUCUUUCCAAGUAAGUAGUCAAAGAUUCUCUCCUCUGGACUGGAGUGGAGACGUACUUCUUCGCUAGUCACUGCUACUCUUCCCAUCAACAAAUUUAUCCAAAACAAAAAGACUUUUGCUAAUUCCAUUCUCUGUUCGUUAGUUGGGAGUCCUGGUCCAAAAAAAUUCCAACGCAUACCUACCCAUCCGACUCGCAGCAGGAAUGGGAAAAUAGUUUCCUUGCUAAUCCAGCAUUUCCAAGAUUUUCCCUUUGCAGGCCCUGUCCCUUCCGCAUUUAGGCAGCUUAACAAACAUGAUGAUGUCUGCAGCGGAUAAGCCCAGUAGAUUGCCUUUAAACAAAUGACUUUGCCCUUUGCUCAAAAACUCGACUGUUCCCCCCUGAGAUAAUUUAGCAGCAGUGACGACAUGUACGUGCUUGUAAAAAAAAAAAAAAAAAAUCUCAACAUCUCUGAUUGCUUACUGUGCAUUUGUGUCUGCAUUAAUAAGUGAUAUCAAUCGUAUUUAUAUCACUCGUUGUAUUUAUUUUUAAAUAAUAAAAAAAAAAAACAUCGUUUGUAAUCCACUGACCAUUUAAUUUCUUACUUAAUAAUCUAGUGCACGUGUCGCAUGGAUAAGCAUUUCAGUACUCAUUAUUUGAACCUGUACCACUUGCUAAUUCUUUGUGCAUCUAAUUCCAACCUGCACCAUUAGGCACAUAUCUUCUUUCCUCUUCCACUUUUAACAUUUUCAUUUUUUGCAGAUUGGCGUAAAGUUGCAGUAAUCCUCUGAAAAUAAAUAUAUGCGACGCCGAUAAGCAUUAGUCAGAGACCGUUGAGGUAGGAGGGGGGAGAGAGUUACCUGUUUGGACAGGGGAAGGGGAGGAGUGUGUCAAAAGGACGCCGGUCCAAUUUUCAGUUUCAUAUUAUUACAAGAGUACACUUACCACCAAAGUGACACCCAAAUAUUGCACUUGGAUGGUUACUGCUUCUGUGAAAUGCCACGUAAUUAGCAUGCUCAUAUGGCGAUUUCGGUUUGUAAUGAGAAGCCAGUACCGUUCUAAUGUUAUAUCUUAAUUAGAAGAUUCUAAUGGUUCAACUCCCAAAAAAAUCCGGAUUUUCUCUGCUCCACC
rnacentral:lncRNA from 1 species